rnacentral:lncRNA from 1 species
AUGAAAGAACUAGUCUUCAUUUUAAGAGUACAUUGUGGAGGAAGAAGGGUUGAUAGAAUUAGCAAUCAUGCUUUGAGUCAUGUAUCUGUUUAUGAAAAAUAUAAUGAUUGUUUCAAGUUAAUAGUUUAGAAAGUAUAAUCAUAAAACUGAAGUUAUUUAAAAAAACAAUCUUUCUGCAUGUGACCUCAUUUUGUGAAAACAAAAUUUAUGCCUAUACUUUAAAUGGAUUUUUUUUGUCUUGUUAUAGUUAUAAAUCAUCAAACAAGCCAAAAAAAACGUGAGAUGCAGACUUUUUUUAUAUUCAUGUUCAUAUUUCAUAAUAAUGAUUGCCGGCAAGUUGAUGGUCGAUAGUUCUUAGUGUUUGAACCAAUCAAAGAGGUUUUAUGAUUAUGCACGAAUGUUUAAAUUUUAUUUCUAUUUCAUUAAUUUUUAUUUCAUAAUAAUGCUACCAAGGAAUUUUGUUGCUUGAUUAUUUAGGUGCUUGAAUAACAUGGUCAAAUUAUUAGAUAGAGUUAUUAGAGAGUUAUCAAGGCAAACUUAUCAAUGCAGGUGCAUGAUUAUUGGAUCAACACAAUUCAUCCAUAUACAUAAUUUUUAAUAGAAACAAUUAUCGCAUGUAAUUAGUUUCAAAGUAAUUAUAUACAAAAUGUUUAAACAAAAUAAUUAAUAAAAUGUUAUUCUUAAAUUGUUUAUCAAAGAUCUAAAAAAACAACUAAUAUGAAAUAUGUAUAUCUAAUUAACAACAUUAUUGUUUACCAGAUUGAACAAACCUAGAAAAUUUUCUAUACGGAACAAAUUAACUCAAAAAACUAAAUAUACUUGUACAAAUCAUACUUUAAUACCAAAAUUAAAUAAUAUAAAUAUUUACCUAGAACUUAUUCCACAAUUAGUUUUUAAAUAAACAAGCUUAUCAACGUAUAUUGUAGUUUUUGACAAUUACAAAUCAUCAUCAACACAAAUAUUAAUUUGAUUUAUUCUAUUUUUAUGGAAUAUAUAUAAAAACAUAAGUUAAUAGUAUUUUUUUAACAAAUAAAUAUAAAAAAUCAUUACUUUAUGAAAGAGUAUCAUUUAUCUUCAUCCCAAAGGGCAGAACAUGAGAAAGCUCUUAGACGCUAAUGGAGAGGGAGGAAGGAGAUUUGAUGACCGCCUGAGACUAUGCAAGAAGGCGAUGUUUCUCCGACAUUCUUCCUCUUCCGUUUCUUUUUUACUUUAUGUAAAUUAUUUAUUAUUUCCCUCUUUAAUAAUUUGACUUUCAUUGCUUCUUCUCUAUUUUGUGCAAGUCUUUUCCUCUGUUUUUAUCUAUAGACAGACUGUCUUUUUUAUUUUGUUAUAUGUUAUUUCUUUCCUUUUUACUUUUUCUUAGAUUUAAUGUUCGCAAGUGAUGAGAAUUUAUUUGAUUAUAAAAAAGAUUGAUUUUGUCAAAUCUGUUAGGAUCAUGCUAGAUCUGUUUUUAUCACAAGCAUCCUUAAUCAUUAAUCUUCAUCUCAUAAUAACAUUCAUAAGAGUACUAUAAAUUGUUGUAAAAAAACAGGGGGCCAUGGCCUCGCAUGACCUAUUAAGAGAUACGCCCCUAGGCAUGGAUAUUUUAAAUAUGUCUUGCUUAUCAUAGGUAAUUCUUUUGUGCACAAACAUAUAUGUUUACUUAAUAACAAAAGAUUAAAUAACUCUUUGACAAAGAAGUGGUUGUUACAAUGUGUGUAAAAUAAAAACAAUUUCUUCAAAGAUCGUAAGUAAAGAUAUGUCAAAGAUCGUAAACAAUACCAAAUAUUACCACAUAAAAACAAAAUGCAUUACCGAUUUCCAACUUCCAGUUGAUAGAUACAACUCAAGAAAAAUCAAAGUUUUGGCAUACUAAGAAACAAGAAUUACUUGCCAAUGAUUAAAGAAGUGGAAGAAAGAAUAUUAACAUACCUAUUUAUGUGCAAUUUUGAAAGAAUUCUUGGUGGAUAUGAUGCUUAUUAGGGAUAAAGGUUGGAAACGAUGAAAAAGUAAAGAGAUACGUAAGGGCACCACGGCUGUUUAUAAGAUGGUUUGAAGGGUAUUACAUGCAAAUAGCAAUAUAUGGUAAAUUUUAAUUGGAUUCAAAUUUUAUUUAGAAAUAGAAGAUAUGAAUAUUCAAACAAUCUAAUUAUCUCCACUAAAUCCGAAAGUAAUACAAUUUUUUGGGCAAUUAUAUGAUCUUAUAUGCCACCUAUAAUAAGAGAUUACCAUUCAAUUGGUUAAAAAUGGGUAAUUCUUUUUAUCCCUUAAAAUUAUAACCUGCAACAGAAAAUUUCAUAUAUUCUAUAUCCUAUUUUAAAUAAACUUUGAAACAUAAUAUCUCCUAUUUUCAACAUUGCAUUCACACAUCCGAUCUCUCAUAAACUAUUUGCAUAAAUUGAAGGAAAAAACAUCAACUGAAAUCAGUGUAUGUCCUUUUUAGUGUUUGUCUUUUACUCUGUUUGUAUGUGUGUAUACCAAUAAUUCUCUAUCUUGAUUAGACUAAGAAACCGUAGCAAGUUUAAAGCUGGCUCCAAUACCAGCUAUUUGCAUCAAAUAUGCUUCUAUGUUCGGCGACUGGUUUUAUAUGACUUUGCUUUGUCGACUUUGUUGUGGCUUUUGAAUUUGGUUCCAAAGUGUUCAGUUUCAGUCCACCUUGUUUCUAUAAUUCCGAUGCUCACAUCUCCCCAACAAAAUUUUCCAACAUUAAUAAUAAUAAUAAGAGCAAGAAUACAAGAUAAGAAAGUCAUAUGUAUUGAGAUGCAACAAAAAGUCGAUUGGUAAUUAAUAAUAUUAUGAAAUUGAUUUCUAUUUUUUUAUAACUAAUAAAAAAGAUAAGUCUAUUUGUUACAUAAUACAUUUUUACCCAACUAUAGCAUUGGACUUAUCAAUUUAACCCAAAAAAUGAAAGUAUAAUGCUAUAAGUUAUUGAACUACUAUGCUAAACUAUUGCACAAAUAGCAAUAUGAUGAUAUUGACGAGGCUACUUAAUUUUUUUGUCCCUUUCUAAAAAAUGAAAGUAAAAUGCUAAAAAAUUACAAGAAACAAAAGUACAAUGUCAUUUCAAGCUAUGAUGUAUGUAAUAAGUUUGUUAGAACAUGGAACAGAGACCAAAAUAGCAAAUAAUUUCUAAAAUUAGUUUAGUAACUAUGUGGUUGUGUUACUGUAUGUGAGUUUAAUUUCUAUUUUUUAAUUCAUUUUGUUUUAUUUUUAAUUGAAGCAUUAUAUGUAAGUUUAAUUUCUAUUUCUUAGUUCUUUUCAUUUUAUUUUUUUAGUAAAACCAAUGCACUUUCUUUUUUUAGGAUAAAGUUCCAUCGCAUUUUCAUUUUUUUGUCCCGUUUAAAGGAAAUCGAAGUAGGACGCUAACAAUUAAAAAUAAACAAAAGUACAAUGCUAUUUCAAGAUAUGGCGUAAGUGAAAAUUAUGUUGGAAUAGACCUAAGUAGUUUUUAUUUAUUGCAUCAUAUUUAACAUAAAUCAAAGCACAUUGUUAUAACUGGAAUUGGAAAAAUAUUGUUAGAGUUUUGCAAAUAUGUUACCAGUAACAUCAGAAGCAAUUGUUCAUAAAAGUAAGUUUAUAAAAGAAAUUUUCCAUUUCAGACAGGAUUAACCUAAAAAUGAAAAUCACAGAAUAUAAGAAAAGAAUUGUAAUGAUGAAAUUACAUAAAAGUAAGUUUAUAAUUUUCCAUUUCAGACAGGAUUGACCAAAAAAAACUGGUUAAGAGAUUUGAUUUGCUUACAUGGACAAUUUUUAAUGAUGUGGCAAUAGAAAUGUCCAUAUAAGAGUGUUAAUGUGUCAAAAAGGUGUCCAUCAGUAUAUGCUUAUGUAGAAAUUUCCCUUACCACAUCAGAUGUGACAUCAUUAAAAUUUGUCCAUGUAAGCCAAUUAAACAUGGCAACCAAUUUUGGUAGGUCAAUAAUGGCUGAAAUGAAGAAAAAAAAUCAUAAUGGUGUUUUAGCUAAAUGAUUGAUAAAAGUAAUGGCUUUUAUGUAAUUUGCCCUUUUUAAAAGCCCAGAAAAGAAGAAAAAUAAAACUACUCAAGCCGUUAAUGGAAAACAUCCUUGUGGAGUAAUCCAAAGAACCCACACCUACAGAUAAUAAUAAUAAUUAUUAUUAUUAGUAAUUAUACAACAAUGUUCCUUUUUUACCAAUUUAUGCAAAAAUGUUCCACCUUUUUAUAAUUAAUACGACAGGUGAGGAGGUUAACAGUGGAGAGAGCAUUAUUCUUCCAGUUAAUUUGAGAUGUGCGUUUUUUCCUCAAUUGGGGUUUUAUUCUUCAGGUCAGCGCUAAAAGCUCUUUUUUCCCUUUUGGCCUUGGAAUUUCGUUGCAAGGUUUUGUUACAUGGGCUAUUUAGUAUUGAGAUUGAAUAGUGUUUGAGACAAAAACAAUAAAAGGAUAGAUUUGAAAAACAAACUAGACCUAUAGCUUGUAAAUCUGCAGACAAACUAAAACCUAUUAGUUUGAAUUCGAUCAACUCAAGGAUCACGUCCGAAAGAUGAUAAUUUGUGAACUAUGAAAAUAAUUCAAAGUGAACAAAAGGGUUCUUUGAUAAAAAUUAGUCUAUCACCUUUUUCCAUGCAUAAACUUGGCCUUAUAUAAAGCCUUUAUUACAAAUUUGGUGGUUACAAGCCAACCAACCAAUUAUUCAUUAAAAGUAGUAAAUGAAAAUUAAGGAAACCCUUGAAAUAACACAAAAAAAAUAUCUACCACACUUAAGAAUGACAAAAAAAAACGUCCAUGUCUUCAAUUGCUAGUAAUUGGUUAUGAGAAGAUGUAGAGAGUGUAACUUCCAAGGAUUAAAGAGAGCCAUCAAUGAUACGAGUGUAACUCCCAAAGUUUAAAGAGAGUCAUCAAUGAUAAGAGUGUAACUCCCAAAGUUUAAAGAGAGUCAUCAAUGAUAAACGUGUAACUCCCAAAGUUUCAAGAGAGUCAUCAAUGAUAAGAGUGUAACUCCCAAAGUUUAAAGAGAGCCAUCAAUGACACCCUUCCAAAUGCUUCCAUAACCACCCAAGCUUUGAAUCAAACAAUCAAUGAAGUCUUGAAUUUAUUAAACUUUUAUUAAUUUAAUUAAGAAAACCCUAAUCCAUCAACUACAUCACCAUGCACACCCCAUAGGCCAUUAAGCCCAAACAACUUUCUAGCCUAAUAUUAAGCUACCCAUAACCUUUUGGGCCUUCAUUAUCCAUACACGGAUCAUUAAUGAACCGUGUAUGGAUAAUGAAGGCCCAAAAGGUUAAGGCCCAAAAGGUUAUGGGUAGCUUAAUAUCAGGCUAGAAAGUUGUUUGGGCUUAAUGGCCUAUGGGGUGUGCAUGAUGACGUAGUUGAUGGAUUAGGGUUUUCUUAAUUAAAUUAAUAAAAGUUUAAUAAAUCCAAGACUUCAUUGAUUGUUUGAUUCAAAGCUUGGGUGGUUAUGGAAGCAUUUGGAAGGGUAUCAUUUAUGGCUCUCUUUAAACUUUGGGAGUUACACUUUUUUUCAUUAAUGACUCUCUUUAAACUAUGGGAGUUACACUCUUAUCAUUGAUGACUCUCUUUAAACUUUGGGAGUUACACACUUAUCAUUGAUGAAUCUCUUUAAACUUUGGGAUUUACACUCGUAUCAUUGAUGGCUCUCUUUAAUCCUUGGAAGUUACACUCUCUACAUCUUCUCAUGACCAAUUACUAACAAUUGAAGACAUGGACGUUUUUUUUGUCAUUCAUAAGUGUGGUAGACAUUUUUUUUGUGUUAUUUCAAGAGUUUCCUUAAUUUUCAUUUACUACUUUUAAUGAAUAAUUGGUUGGUUGUCUUGUAACCACCAAAUUUGUAAUAAAGUCUUUAUAUAAAGCCAAGUUUAUGCAUGGAAAAAGGUGAUAGACGAAUUUUUUUAUCAAAGAACCCUUUUAUUCACUUUGAAUUAUUGUUAUAGUUCACAAAUUAUCAUCUUUCGGACGUGAUCCUUGAGUUGAUCGAAUUCAAACUAAUAGGUCUUAGUUUGUCUUCAGAUUUACAAGCUAUAGGUCUAGUUUGUUUUUCAAAUCUAUCCUUUUAUUGUUUUUGUCUCAAAAACUAUUCAAUCUCAAUACUAAAUAGCCCAUACACAUAUCAUAAGUGGUAUCAAAGCCCAGUUUCGAUUGGGUGUUGUUGAGAUCUUGUUCAAAAAAAUCCUUCUAGGUUUGUUUAAUUUUAGUUCCUAUUCAGAAAUUGUUUUCCAAAACAUGUUGCAUAAGUUAUAUUAUGAAGAAGAAAUAGAGGAAGAGAAUUUUGAAGAAGAGGAGGAAGAAGAUUCCGGUCCCAUCUACGACACCGAUGGGGAAGGGGAAUUUUGUGAAAGAAUAUAUUUCUUGUUUGAAGAGGAUCAUGAAGAAAUUGAAGAAGAAAUAAAUUUUGUGGCUGGAAACGAAAUUGUUGAAAUGUUUGUGAAAGAAAUAGAUUUUGUUGUUACGAACAAAAUUGUUGAAGAAAUGGUUGAAGAAUCAGAAGAGGUGGAGCAGGUUCUUGACCACGAAGAUGUGGUUGUGGUUAAGAAGGAUGAUACAUAUCUUAUAACAAACCUUCUUUCUAAGAGCCUAGAAGAAGGAAUGAACCAUCAAGUUCCAAGUUCCAAGCGGUUACAAGGGAUGGAGUUCAUAAUUCUUAUAUUCCUAAUCUUGUGGUGUACCUUUAAUUGGGAAACCAUGUUAUUGGAACAUGUUGGUCAUAAACCCACAAAUACAAACCAUGAUCCAUUAUUUCAUAUGACCAUUGUUAAUCCUUUAAGUUAUUACAAGGAUUAUUUACAAGGUCCUAAUCUUGUUCAUAGGAGUGCACAAAAGUGGUUUUUGAUCCACAAAUGGAAGAUAUGGUUAGGAUUGAAUUCAGCGAAUUCUUUGAGUUAUUUGAAGAAGAACAUGUACAUAGGGAAGAGGGACACUACAAGGCUGUUUGGAAUGAAUGCAAAACAUGUGGUUGCUGCUCCUAUGUUAAUAUGGAAAAAAUUCUUUUAUCUUUUCAAGUUCAAGAACACUGAUCGCAGGAUGAUCCUUUUAUGCAACACCCUAUCUAAUGAAGGUACUUUUUUCCAUGAUUUGCACUUUUCACUAGUGUUAAAAUAUAAAAUUGGAGGUUUCAAGCAUGGCUCGUGUCCCGGGUCAAAAGAGGAGCUCGUAUCAGCUAACCAUCUAAAAAUAAGUACACAUGGGUGGAAUUCAAAACCCACGGCCAUGUGGUGCAUCAAUCAAGAUCAAUGCUGGAAAAGGACUGUUAUUACAAACUUGUGAAUGGGUAUGUAGAGGGACAAGAAGAUAUUUUGGUUCGUUUCUAUGAUGGUUUGUUCAAAAUAGUGCAAGUAUUGAUUCAUACUUCUAUGGAUCAAAAAGAGAGUGAGAUUGAUGACAUAAGAGCUGCUAAGCCAAAGAAAAAGGUUAGUUUGAAAAAAGAAGAGUUGAGUGAUGAUACUUUCAAUAUGGCUAAAACUGAUAUUAAGAAGGGUAAUGUCAUCUUGAGAUAUCCUUCGUUUGAAAGAAGUUACCAACUUGGAGUAAAGAAAAGGUCACAUUCUGUAAUAAAUAUUUGUUUUCAAGACCUACUGUCAUGGAAGUUUUAUAUAGGAGAACAACUAAUCUGGUCCUUACUGAAUUGAGGACAAUUCCUUUCGAAGAAGGAGGGAAUGAUCCGUGUUUGGAUAAUGAAGUCCCAAAAGGUUAUGGGUAGCUUAAUAUUAGGCUAGAAAGUUGUUUGGGAUUAAUGGCCUAUGGGGUGUGCAUGGUGACGUAGUUGAUGGAUUAGGGUUUUCUUAAUUAAAUUAAUAAAAGUUUAAUAAAUCCAAAACUUCAUUGAUUGUUUGAUUCAAAGCUUGGGUGGUUAUGGAAGCAUUUGGAAGGGUAUCAUUGAUGGCUCUCUUUAAACUUUGGGAGUUACACUCUUAUCAUUGAUGACUCUCUUUAAACUUUGGGAGUUACACUCUUAUCAUUGAUGAGUCUCUUUAAACUUUGGGAGUUACACUCUUAUCAUUGAUGACUCUCUUUAAACUUUGGGAGUUACACUCGUAUCAUUGAUGGCUCUCUUUAAUCCUUGGAUGUUAAACUCUCUACAUCUUCUCAUAACCAAUUACUAGCAAUAUGAAGACAUGGACGUUUUUUAUUUUUGUCAUUCUUAAGUGUGGUAGACGUCUUUUUUGUGUUAUUCCAAGAGUUUCUUUAAUUUGCAUUUACUACUUUUAAUGAAUAAUUGGUUGGUUGGCUUGUAACCACCAAAUUUGUAAUAAAGGCUUCAUAUAAAGCCAAGUUAUGGAUGGAAAAAGGUAAUAGACAAAUUUUUAUCAAAGAACCCUUUUGUUCACUUUGAAUGAUUGUCAUAGUUCACAAAUUAUCAUCUUUCGGACGUGAUCCUUGAGUUGAUCGAAUUCAAACUAAUAGGUCUUAGUUUGUCUUCAGAUUUACAAGCUAUAGGUCUAGUUUGUUUAUCAAAUCUAUCCUUUUAUUGUUUUUGUCUCAAACACUAUUCAGUCUCAAUACUAAAUAGCCCAUACACGUAUCAUAAGUGGUAUCAAAGCCCAGUUCCGAUUGGGUGUUGUGGAGAUCUUGUUCAAAAAAAAUCCUUCUAGGUUUGUUUAAUUUUAGUUCUGUUGGGCUGAAGAUUGUUUUGUUGUUGCGUCUUUUGGGCUCGUUAGUUUAGCCAUGUAUACUCCGGUUUGGGCCUGUCCAACCGAGAACCUUUUAUGUAUUGUAUAUAAGUUAAUGCUUGCAUGCAUAUUAGGUUAAGAUUGCAGAGAUAAUCGACAUAGCGAUUCAUCUAGAGUACAAGAUUUUUCUUUAAUCGUUCUUGUAAUCUUCUAAUCCUCUAUAGUUGAUGUUCUUAAUCGAGCUCUUCUGAGGAUUUUGUUUAAUCGUUCGACACGUUUGAUUCAAGCUUUCUUGUUCUUAUUAUUGCGUUUUUACUGUUUUAUAUUCAUAUACUUGUUCAAGAUCUAAUCGAUCUUCAUAGAUUAAAGGUUAUUUUAAUCCCUUCAAUUGGUAUCAGAGCAGGAGGCUAUGUAAUCGAUACACAUCUGUUCUGUGAAAAAGAUUUCCAUUAGGGUUUUCCGCAAUCAUCGUUAUUUAUUGAGCCGUCAUCUUAAUUGACGUAUCUUAAUAUUUAUUGUUUUGCCCUAAUCUGCUUUAUUACAAGUCUGAUCUUUGAACAGGUUUUUACGAUCACAAUGGACGCGACGCAAUCAAACCCUAUUAAUAUUUCCAACAGCAUCGGUUCGACGACAAAGAUUCCAAUCUUAUACACCCAUGACUAUGAAGUAUGGGCGCAUCAUUUUGAAGAUUACAUGAUUGGAUCAGAGGAAAAUGGUUACCUCAUAUGGGAAGCCAUCAUCAAUGGACCGUUUUCUCAUUCUGCAACAUCCAGAAUCAUAAAGUCCCAAGAAGGAACCGAAGGCAGAUGGCGAUUCCGGAGUAAGCUGUUUCUACUGUGGUGGCAAGAACCACUAUGCUAAGGACUGUGUUCUUAAGAAGAUGGCUGAAAAGGACGAUGGAAAUGAUGAGGAAGUCGUGCUGCAGAAGAGAUUGGAUGAGUUGAGAAAGAAGAAGUUUACCGCUAACCCUUCUAUUAAUGCUCUUAUUGUGCAGGGUUCGGUUAAUGACGAUGAGUUCGGUAGCACAGAAGUUUGGUCUACCGACUCAGAAGACGAAGAAGUGAGGAAGCCUACACAUGGAAAGGCGUAUGUGGCUAAGGAGGAAAGCAGUGGAGGAAAAUGCUUCAUGGUGACUGACGUAUCUCAAAUGAGGGGAUACAACACCGAUGGAGGAAGCGAUGGACCGAAGGUACAGGAGGAUAUGUGCUUUACGGCCAAACCACUCAGCCAGCAGUUCAAUGAGCUCGAUGAACUGAUAAAGAAGGUACAAUCUGUUUUUAUUUCAUCUAAAGUACCACCAUCCUCAUAUGAGAAAGAACUAAAAAAUGUUAAUACAAGAAUUUCUCAUUUAGAUAGUAGCUUAACUCAAACUCGAGUCACCAAUUCUAACCUGACUGAUCAAUUAAGCAGGGUGGCGUCGAAGAGUGAGGAGCGGCGAAUGUGGAUUGAGUUAAAAGAGUCGGAAUUAGUUAAAGUUAAAGACGAAAACAUUUAUUUGCAGAGAGACAAUUUAAAAUUGUUAAAACAACGAAAUGUUUUUUGUUUAAUUGCUAAACGUUUAUAUUCCAAUAUUACUCAACUUCACUUGGACUGUGAGAUAGGCCAAAAGAUCCAUCGCAUGAUUUUGCCCUUCCUAGAGUUUAAGGAGGAUGAAAUCGAUGCCGAAGCCUACAAUUGUGAGAGUGUGAUAUCGUCUGAUGAUGUCAAUCCGACCUACAUGUAUGGACUGGACAAAAUUGAGUCCUUCAUUAAAUCCAAAGACCACAAGGACAUGCUCAAAAAUCUUUUGGACGAAAAUGACAGACUUAAACUGAGAACCGAAACCAUGCAAAAAUUUGACUCUCUAAACGCCAACGUAAGCUCAGAAAACAAAAUCGAUGUUGAAAAUGCAUCUGAGCUUAACGAGGACGAAAACAUGAGUGAAAUUUCUGUAGAGGAUACGGUUGACUGCUCAGAAUUUGUUAAAAGCGAAACUGAAAACCACAAAAAUCUUAUUUCUGAAAAUUCUGUGGAAUUCGCUAGAUUGUCCCAACAAAAGUCCCCGAAAUUAGUAGAAAAAGCUGUUGUGUAUCAAAAGGUCAGGACCACUCCGAAUCAAGUAUACAAGGUGACUGGAGUAACCGAACAUCAAACAGCUGAACUCACAGCUAUUGUUAACGAAGACAAUGCUGAUGGCUGUGAUGAGUACUUCUGGGAAGCUCCUAUUGAUAAUGCAAACGAAACCGUUGGCUUGUCUGAAAGAACCUCCUGGAUGAGCAAAGGAAGAUACAUCCCUGAACCAUUAAAUAAGCCGGAUAACUUCAAUGAGCCAAGUACCAGUGGUACGAAAGAUAUUCCUCAGGAGAAUGAUCAUUCAGCAAAAGAAGACAUUCCCUCUACUCCAACAGCUCAAAGUGAAACUUCAUCAGAUAUUCCUUCCACUUCCUCAGUGCAAACUGAAUCUUCUUCGGAUAUUCCCUCUGCUCCCUCGGCUCAAAGUAAAACUCCUGAAGUUCAAAAGGAACCAGCCAAGGUGACAACAAAAACGAAAGCGAACGUUCAUCAUCAACCUAAGCAGAUGAGGGAUAAGAAGAUAGAAAGGAACCAAAGAUACAGGAAAAACCUUUCUGAAAGGAAACAAUUCUGGCACUCCCAGAAUGCAUACUAUUCACACAAAGACAAGAAUCUGAAGUAUGAAAACAAUCCUGUAAGAAAGCCUGAAAGUUCCAACAACCGAAAGCCAAGGUUCGGUUCACAAGAAAAUACCAACCGAAAGCAAAGGUUCGGUUCUGAAAAGGAUUUCAACCGAAACCAAAGGUUCGGUUCCAAGAACAACUCCAACCGAACACAGAGGUUCGGCUCAGAAAUCAAAAGAGAACAAGACUCGAAGGUCAGCCCCUCCAACGAUCAAAAGCAAAAGGGUCACCUAGAGUCAUCAGCCAGGAAGUCCUCUCCAUCCAAAUCCUCUCUUCCUAAUUCUUCUCGUUCUUUUACUUCCACCCAUUCAUCUCCAUCUUGCUCUAAAGCUAAUUCCGUUUGUUCUCAAAAACCUCAUUCAUCAGCUGAACAGAAGGGAAAGCAGAAGGUCGAUGAAUCCAAACCAGAGUCCAAAACGAACACACCCAAUCCUAACAAAAUAAAAGUCUUUACCAUUAAAAAGAAAGAUGAAACAACUCUAAUAAAACGAACAUAUCUAGUUGACAUCUCUCUUACUAUUCCCGUUCCCAUGAAAAGCUCACAUGGACCCAAGAAACUUUGGGUUCCUAAAUCUGCUUAAUUUUUGCAGGUUAUAAGUGACGAGCAGUUUGACGAAGAAUGGUACAUCGACAGUGGCUGCUCGCGUCACAUGACAGGGAGGAAAGAGGAGCUCAGGGAAUACAGAUCUCUUGCAAAUGGUGGCAACGUUAAGUUUGGAAAUAACUCUUUCGGCACCAUAAAGGGAUACGGGAUGAUAACGAAUGGUGACUUUACAAUAAGGAAGGUGGCUUAUGUGGAAGGACUCCAACACAACCUCAUCAGUGUAUCUCAGCUUGUUGGAGGUACAGGUCUCAAAGUUUCAUUCGAUGAUGAAGGUUCUGAAAUCAUAGAGAAAAAGACAAAGAAAGUGAUUCUGAAGUCAGAGCGAAAGGGUGAAAUGUUUCCUCUGAACAUGAAACCCAUCAAAGGAAACCCAGCCAUAUGUCUGUUAUCAAAAGCUCAAUCCGACGAAAGCUGGUUGUGGCACAGAAGACUCUCUCAUCUCAAUUUCAAAGAUAUCAACCGACUUGUCACUGGAGGUCAUGUUAGGGGUCUUCCAUUGCUCAAGUUCGACAGAGAGCAUUUGUGUGCUGCAUGCGAAAUGGGAAAGCAGAGUCGUCAAAGUCACCCAUCUGUAAUCAACACAAAAGUUGUUGAACCACUCGAAUUGCUUCAUAUCGAUUUGUGUGGUCCUUCAUCUAUCGAAAGCAUCGGUGGUAGCAAGUAUAUUCUUGUUAUCGUUGAUGACUUUUCACGAUUUACAUGGGUGUUCUUUCUAAAGCUCAAAUCUGAAGCGACUCAAAAGCUGAAAGUGUUUAUCAAGCAAAUUGAAGUCCAGCUCAAGAAGGUCGUUCGCAACAUCAGGAGCGACAAUGGUCUCGAAUUCAAGAACAGGGAGUUUGAAGAGUUUCUUGCAGAAAAGGGAAUUAGUCACAAUUUCUCAGCUCCCUACACACCACAACAGAACGGAAUAGUCGAAAGACGAAACCGAUCUUUGUGUGAAGCUGCCCGAACUAUGCUAAGUUUCGCUUCCUUACCUCUUUAUUUUUGGGCUGACGCUAUUUCUGCUGCUUGUUAUACACAGAACAGGUCCUAUCUCAACAAGCGAUUCACGCUCACACCAUAUGAGAUAAUAAACAACAGAAAGCCCAAUGUGAAAUUUUUCCACGUUUUUGGCUCAAGGUGUUUCAUCUUUAACUCUAAAGAACACCGCAACAAGUUUGAUGUCAAAGCCGACGAGGGAAUCUUUCUGGGUUACUCACUCACUUCAAAGGCGUACAGGGUCCUAAACAAACGAUCAAGAAGGAUUGAAGAAACAUACUAUGUGACCUUCGACGAUAGCUAUGUCAAGAAGCUACAGGCCAUAAAUGACACUGCCAGGGAAAUCUUCCCUCAAACUGGUCAAGUCACAAUCUCAAUCGCCAAUAUGUACGAGAAUUUUCUGGAUCUCUUUGAUGAACCGGAAAAAGCUUCUCUCUCAGAAGCAGGGGCAGCCGACAACAAAAUAGAUCAUAUGAAGAAGAUUGUCGAAGAUGCUGCAAGAAGAAUGCAUGAAGGAGAAUCGCCUACUGAUGAAUCUCCAACCAACAAUGCUUCAGUCGAGGGGGAGCCAAGUUCUCUUGUCGAGGGGGAGCCUAGCUCACAAGUCCAGGGGGAGCCAAGCUCUACUACUUCAACCGAAGGUCCUUCAUCAACCGAAGGUACCUCUCCAACCGAAGAUGCCCCUCCAAACGAAGGUGCUUCAAUGCCUGAAAAUCCAGCACCACAAGAAACCCCUGAACCUCAUGUUUGUCAAGACUCAUCAAUUGAGGGGGAGCAUGAUGAUAUGACGCUUGAUUUUGAUAGCCAAUCCGAGCCUGAAGAGAUGAUCAACGCUGAACUAGAUCCAUCCUUUGAUCCGAAUUACCCUCCUCUUACAAAAUGGACCAGAGAUCAUCCUAUCUCUCAAGUAGUUGGUGAUGUAUCUGAAAAGGUUCUGACCCGAUCUCAACUGAAGGCAAAACAGACAUCCUUAUUCUCAAAAGUUGAGUUUUGUAUGUUUAACUCAUUUGUAUCAAAAGUUGAACCGAAGACAGUGAACACUGCCCUCGAUCACUCUGAUUGGGUUCAAGCUAUGCAAGACGAACUAAACGAGUUUGAGAGGAACAAAGUCUGGCGCCUCAUUCCAACUCCUCCGGAUGCUUCAGUUGUUGGUCUCAAAUGGGUUUUUAGAAACAAAAUGGACAAGGAAGGUAAUGUCAUAAGAAACAAGGCUCGCCUGGUUGUCAAAGGAUACUGUCAGGAGGAAGGGAUAGAUUACGAAGAGACGUUCGCUCCAGUAGCUAGGCUAGAAUCGGUUAGAAUAUUUCUGGCCUAUGCUGCUCACAAAAACUUUGAGGUCUUCCAAAUGGACGUCAAGUGCGCAUUUCUCAAUGGAGAACUUGAAGAAACGGUGUAUGUGGAGCAACCUCCUGGGUUCGUGAACGAAAAGUAUCCAAAUCAUUGCUACAUUCUGGAUAAAGCUGUGUACGGCCUCAAACAAGCUCCGAGAGCCUGGUAUGAAACGCUUACAAAAUUUUUAAAGAUGUCCAAAUUCAAACAAGGUUCGGUUGACCCAACCUUCUUUCGCAAAAAGGAAGGUAACCACCUUAUGAUAGUUCAAAUUUAUGUCGAUGACAUCAUCUUUGGCUCUACGAAUCCCAGCUUAACAGCUGAAUUCAGAAAGUUGAUGGAGACUAAGUUUGAAAUGAGCUCAAUGGGUCCUAUUAAUUUUUUCCUUGGUUUAAAUAUAAGACAGGGACCCGAAGGCAUCUUUAUCAAUCAGGAAGCUUACACGAAGACUCUCCUAGCAAAGUUUGGCAUGAUGGGAGACUCAAAAGUCAAAGUCCCUAUGGCAUUCGGCACCAAACUUACCCCUUCACUAGAUAAACCGGCCGUCGACAUCACGCUCUAUCGUCAAAUGAUAGGCUCACUGAUGUAUCUAACUGCUAGCAGGCCUGAUAUCAUGUUUUCUGUAUGUUAUUGUGCUCGAUUUCAGGCUAACCCACGCGAACCUCACAUGCUGGCAGUGAAGAACAUCCUACGCUAUCUCAAGCGAACCGCCUCCUUAGGUCUAUGGUAUCCAUCCAACUCUGGCUUCUUCGUUCAAGCCUAUUCUGAUGCUGACCUUGGAGGAUGUGGACUCGACCGCAAAAGCACAACUGGUGGCUGUCAAUUUCUUGAUGGGAAGUUGGUCAGCUGGCAAUCCAAGAAACAAACAUGUGUGUCGCUGUCUACUGCUGAAGCGGAAUACAUUGCCGCUGCAUCCUGCACAUCACAAGUGAUUUGGAUCCAGAGUCAACUUCGAGACUAUGGACUCAAUAUGAAGAAGAUCCCUCUAUAUUGUGACUCUGAAAGUGCAAUUAGGAUCUGUCAUAACCCGGUGCAACACUCUAAAACCAAACACAUAGCACUGAGGUAUCACUUCAUCAAAGAUCAUGUGGAAGAUGGAAAUGUCGAAGUUCACUUCGUAAGAACCACUGAUCAACUGGCUGACGUCUUCACCAAAGCUCUUCCAGAAGCCUCAUUCAAUAAAAUUUUGCAAGGACUAGGUAUGAUGGAAUCAGAGUCAGUACCUCACACUACCUCUCAAUCUCAAACGUAAGAAGCGAAACCAACCGAACGUUCGGGUUCGGUUCAACCAUUUCACUCGCUCAUUACUUCAAAGGUAGUUUUUCUGUGUUGUAUAUUUCUUGUGCAAAAUUUGUUUUUCUUUAUGUAAAAAGUUUUUUUUUUUUGCAUAUCUAAACUCCUUGGUUUCUUAAAAUUUUCCAGAAACCGAAACCUCCAGAAGGUUCGGGUUCGGUUUUCCAAAAUUUUGUUGAACCGAAACCAACCGAAGGUUCGGGUUCGGUUUUUCAAAAUUUUCUAGAACCGAAACCAACCGAACGCUCGGGUUCGGUUUUUCAACUUUUUCCCAACCAAAACCAACCGAACGUUCGGGUUCGGUUUUUCAUUUUUUCCAAAGUUUUUUUUUAUUUUAAGUCUUAUUUUUUUUUUCUCUCUUCUAUUUUUUUAUUUUUUUUAUUUUUAUUAUAAAUUUCAAAAACUCCAAAAAUAUUUUAUUUAUUUUUUUUUGUGUGCUCAUUCGUUUAUGGGGAUAUAUUUGAUGACUUACUUAAGUGUCCCUAGAAGCAUGCUGCUGUAUGUGUCCCAAGCCUCAUAAGAUUUUGAAUAAUAGCCUUCAUGACCUGGUAUACACAAACCUUGUCUUCCCAAUAAGGCUAACACAUUUAUUCUAAUCGUGAGCUACCUCACUCUCUUCUCACAUGAGUUAAGAGUUUCCUGUUUGGUCCUUAUUUUCGCAGCAGAGGUACUAUGUUUUCUUACACCAUCCCCAUUACACUUCUCCAUUACAUUCGUUUCAUCACUGUAACCCUUGAGACUCUCAGAAACUACCACUGAGGUUUAUGGUUAUACAACAUCUGUGUUUAUGAUCUUAGUUUCGUGCCACUACGAGCUGAGUGAAACCCAAAAUUCAACACCAACGAAUUGACGGUGACCAAUUAAUUUGAUCAAGUUUUCACCAAUGAAUUGGAGAAUGUACCUUCAUGGAAUCUCAAUUUUUCUUUUGCGUGAUUUCAACGAAAUUGUUACACACCAUAACAUUUCUUCCCAAGGGAUCCAGUUUUAAAUUUUUAUCUGAGAUUUCAUAUUAAUCCAAGCCACUACAAAAUCAACUCCUACCUACUUGUUCAACAGACUACACCGGUCUCACAAGUACUUUGUUCACUUUCUUUCUUAUAUCAAGAAUUGAAUUGAUGAAUCCAAGCGAAAACACCCUUAAUUAGCCUAAUUAAAAAAUGCCUUUGAACAUUUAUUAAUAAAUGUUUGAUCGUAAUUCAACGGGAUUCCACACUAACACUUUGAGGUCUCUCUUGACCUUGAAGGAAGAGAUUCGUGCCCGGGAUCAUCAGUUUCGUGUCAUUAUUGACAUCACACAUUAUCCUAAAAAGAGUUGCUUUAUUUCUUUUUCAUUUACACUCUUUGCACGAAAAUCCUAGAUUUUCAAAACUUCUGUUACUAAUUAUUUUACAGGUUGGAUUAUUACUGGAUGGUUAAUAAUGAAGUUGUGGUCAAAAACUAUCCACGUGGUUCAUUUAUUCUACAAUGCCGUUUAAAAGGGAUAAGACGAAAGGUUGCUGACGCGGCAGGAGUUCAAAGGAUAAAUAUUCAAACGACGAUAAAAAGGAGGGCGCGUGAAUUUGAAUCGGCCGCGCUUUUUCUGACACUUCUGGACGCGUGUGCGAUAUUGAAACGUCAUCAAUCCGGCAUUAAAGGCGCGUGUGGAAAUGGAAACGGUUCUUCUCUCUGAACCGGCGCUUAUUGGGCGGCGUAAUCCUAGGAAUCUGACACUCUCUCUCCUACGUGAUCAUCGCACGCCCCAACUGUCACCAAUCAGUCACUCAAAAAACCCGCUUCGUAUUUCCAUAAGAGAUUUGAAACGAUUUUUCUCUCUCCUAUCACCCACUAUAAAAGGCCGUCAACACCACCUUUUACCUCUUUACUGCCUCCAUAAUUUCCAAAGCAAAAAUACUCCCAAACACUCUCCCGUUCAUCUUCUUCUCCAAACCUGCAACAAUGGCUGAAUCUUCUUCUGUUCAUGCAACUUCUCAGAUUCUUCCCAUCCGACCCCAACAAUGCCUAGUCAUUGAUCUGAACCCACUGGCGUAUGAUUCCUACAUGUCGCCGGUCAUAGAAUGCCUCAAGUACUCCCAGCUUGCUCCUGCACUGUCAAGAAUUGAAACGGUGCCAAUGGUGGCCUUAUCACAGGUCUAUGCGACGGCUUACUACGACAAGGACAUCGACCGGGUAUUCUUUGAAGUGGCAGAACACAAGACUUCGAUUUCUCGCCCCCGUUUCUGCACUAUGUUAGGGUUUGCUGCUGACCCAUCGCGAGUUCACCCGGAGACGAUUCCGGUUGGGAUGUUGUACAACAUGUUUUACAACAUGGGCUACACAGAGGUUCUCACCUCCGUCGCCAAGUUUAAGAAGUCCUGCCUACCGCCCCAGUGGAAUGGGUUAUUUACAGUUCUCUUCAAGGGACUGUCAGAGAGGAGCUCAGGAUCUGACGGUGCAAGUCGUCUUUUCCUUUCGAUAAUGUAUGGGGUGUACAAUGGGAUAAACCUGGACUAUGGGUUUGUCCUUUGGCAACAGCUGAUUCAGAGCCUCUCUUCCUCUUCCCGACACUCUGAGGUGUCGUUGGCCCGGUUCUGGAUCUUGAUCACAAGAUGGGCCAUGGACAAGUUCAAUGUUCCAACUGCCGAUGGUGCAUCGAUGUCUUCUAUUGGUACGUUUCAUACCAAGAAGAUCAUCGUAUCCGAUGCAUCAAAAUUCUCAUUCAUUGGCUCUAUCCCGGAGUCGAUGUAUGCCGAUGUGCCCGCCGAUAGCAGACUGAUCAGGACGAUCAAGGAGUUUAGGCCAACUGGUCCGAGGGAACUGACACCGGACAUGCUGCGAUCGAUUCAUGAUGCCGAUAAACCGGUGGCCAGGGGCAAAAAGGCAGAGAAGGGGAAGCAAGUGUCCAAAGCUCCAAAGGGACCUUCUCCCAAGAAGCGAAAACAACCGAAGGCUGCUUCAUCCCCACAGCCGAAAAGGAGGAAGACCCAACAGAAGCGAAAGCUCGUUAUUCCCUCCUCUUCAAGCGAAUCCGAAGGUGGGAGUUCGGACUCUGAAGGAUCACAAGGAGACGAAUCUCCUCAACGAGGCAACACACCACCUCGGUCCCCAACCCCAGAGAUGGAACUUCAUCAAUCCCCAGUUCCUUCACCUCCACCCACAAUUCCUAUUUCCAUUCCCACCAUAAACCCCACUAUUCCCCCAACCUCAUUCCCUAUACCUCCACCCAUAUUCACCACAUCAACCGAAACACCACCAGUUACCGAAACCCCUCCUGUAACCGAACCACCACAAACUCAAACACAUACAACCGACCCUACCCAUACACAACCACCACCUGAAACUAACCCCCCACCCACUCAACCUGAACCAACAAAACCCAUAACACCCCCAGCUUCACCACCACCUCAAUCUCCAGAAGACGCCUCCGAUGGCGGUGAUCAAUACCUUGGUGGUGAUCACAUGAACUUCGAUUCGGUCUACUAUAGUCCGUUUCAAGUUCAGAGUGAUGAGGAGGAUGAUGCUCCAGUGACAAAGAAGCAUCUUCGCGAGCUUAACGAGAAGGUUGAUCAACUUCUCGCCUCCUCUUCCAACCAGCAGUCAUCUUUGUCUGAAGCUGCCCUUCAGAAGAUCGUUGACGCCUUCUCCAGGGCUCAACAUGAUUCCGUGGCCUCAGCAACUGCUGCUAUCGACGCCUCCACCCGAGCCUGUGAGGCAGCGACCGAAAAAGUCGAUAAACUAUUCAAUGACGCUUCUGUCCUGCUGCAGUCUUUGCAGGAGAGCGCCGAAGCCACUAAGACAACUCUGGAACCAGUUGUUCAACAAUUGGCCAAGUUUGUCUCGACGGAGCUGUCUUCGUUCGCUACUCUCAGACAACAUCUUAGCGACGACAACUCGGCACUUCGUGCCUCCAUCGAUGCCCGCCUGGCAAAGCUACAAGAGGAUCUUGCGGCAGAAAAUUCUCUGAUGGACGUCUUGGCGAGUAAGACUACCGCCCUUAAGGUCAAGAGCACGCAGCUUUCCAACUCCCAGCAACAAUUGGAAGCUCUUCGAUCCGAGAGGGAGGUCAUAAAGACGUGUGUUUCGGAUGUCCACGCAGCUCUAUCAAACAUCCUGGAAGCACACGACCCCAUCCUUAACCACUCAGUGAGGCGUACCCUCGCUGAAAAACUCUCUCCGGCCAUGGACCUUUUAAGCAAAAUUGAAGGCCUACCGAGUUUCGUGUCCAUUCCGAAACAAGGGGGAGAUGAGAAGAAAGGAUCGAAACCACCUCCUUCCUCCAAAGCUACUCACACAACCGAACCACCCCCAACUGGUCAUGCCUCGGGUUCGGGUGUGAAGAACAAGGGCAAAAACAUAGCUGAGGGAGGAGAUGAAGAUGAAGAUGAAGACAAGGAGACCAUUGCGGACAUGUUAAAAAGAAAGAACAGUCGCAAUGCUGAAGACGAUGCCAGUCGUGUGGCGCGUGAGGCUGAAGAAGCCGAACGAAAGCAAAAAGAAGCCCACGAUCUCCUUGAGAGCCGAAAGUUGCUCUUCCCUGCCUGGACCAGGGAUCGUAUGAUAAAAGAGGCCAUAGAGACUCCAAGCAUACUAUGGCUCGAGCCGGUGAUAUCAUUCGACUGCAACAACUCUAUCGAUUCGCAGUUUGAUAUGCCGCUGACUCGAAAGGCGUUCAUCUUCCACGCCUUCUCUAACAUUUUUGAAGUCCCGCAUCCGAACGAUGAGCUUGACAGGGAGCUCAUUGACUUCUACCUGGAGGCCGCUCGCCCUCAAUACCUUACAUGGAGCGCCCAGAAGAUUGUUAAUGUUCGGGUGCUGAAGCCUUAUGCCGUGGGGAGAUUCACAAACGUUAAGUUCAAGCUUAUUCGUGGAUCUGCAAGAACUGCUCACAUUAUCACCCUGGCGGAUCUGCCGAAUCUGAAUCCUCAUGACUGGAUAGUCUUGUACAAUAUCCUGCUGACAGAUGAAUCCGAAUAUGGUCCCAUCAUAGACCAUGUCAAAAGGAUGUUGGCUUGCUACAUCAUGGAGGUUGCCCUAAUGGAUCAGGAGGUCGCCACAGUUUUUAAGAAGAAACCGAAAGUCGCACCUGUGGGAUCGGCCAGUGAUCUAAAUCAAAUGCAAAUGGGUAAGAUUGAUCCGAGGCGAAACUCAGUGAUGUUCACUAGAGCCGAAGGACAGAAAUGUCUCUUCGCUUUAGCUGACAAACAUCUUUACACCACAGCUUGCUUGGAGCACGUCUUAUCAAUUAUCAAGCGGUGUAAAGAGAAUUCGGCUGAUGACAUCAAGUACUUCAAUGAUAUGAUCAAUUGGUACAUCCGGUUUAGACAGACCAUCCUCUCCAUAACCAAGUGUCUGUUUAGCACCGUGAAGAAGAAGGUACCAGCUUCAGCUGCCGGCCCAAGUAAGAAGUGAAGGUCUCGCUCCAAAUUGACGCAAAGGGGGAGAUUGUUGGGCUGAAGAUUGUUUUGUUGUUGCGUCUUUUGGGCUCGUUAGUUUAGCCAUGUAUACUCCGGUUUGGGCCUGUCCAACCGAGAGCCUUUUAUGUAUUGUAUAUAAGUUAAUGCUUGCAUGCAUACUAGGUUAAGAUUGCAGAGAUAAUCGACAAAGCGAUUCAUCCAGAGUACAAGAUUUUUCUUCAAUCGUUCUUGUAAUCUUCUAAUCCUCUACAGUUGAUGUUCUUAAUCGAGCUCUUCUGAGGAUUUUGUUUAAUCAUUCGACACGUUUGAUUCAAGCUUUCUUGUUCUUAUUAUUGCGUUUUUACUGUUUUAUAUUCAUAUACUUGUUCAAGAUCUAAUCGAUCUUCAUAGAUUAAAAGUUAUUUUUAUCCCUUCAAUUGGUAUCAGAGCAGGAGGCUAUGUAAUCGAUACACAUCUGUUCUGUGAAAAAGAUUUCCAUUAGGGUUUUCCGCAAUCAUCGUUAUUUAUUGAGCCGUCAUCUUAAUUGACGUAUCUUAAUAUUUAUUGUUUUGCCCUAAUCUGCUUUAUUACAAGUCUGAUCUUUGAACAGGUUUUUACGAUCACAAUGGACGCGACGCAAUCAAACCCUAUUAAUAUUUCCAACAGCAUCGGUUCGACGACAAAGAUUCCAAUCUUAUACACCCAUGACUAUGAAGUAUGGGCGCAUCAUUUUGAAGAUUACGUGAUUGGAUCGGAGGACAAUGGUUAUCUCAUAUGGGAAGCCAUCAUCAAUGGACCGUUUUCUCAUUCUGCAACAUCCAGAAUCAUCAAGACACAAAAAGAGUACAACGAUCUGCUUAAGGACGUGAAGGAUAUUGCACAAGACGAGAAAGACAAAUUCCAGUGUAAUAUUAAGGCGUUAAGGUUGAUCAGAUUCGCCCUUCAGUCAGACACAUUCAGACUGGUCAACUCAUGUACUACGGCGAAGGAAGUAUGGGAUAGACUUCGCGAACUGUAUUCCACAGACGAAGAUCUUGAACAUUCUAUCCAAACCUUGCUUCUAUCUGAGUUUGGAGAAUUCAGGCAAGGGGCCGAAGAAACGGUGACCCAGACGUUUGAUCGCUUCAAUCAUCUUCUCAGCAAGAUGAUCAAACACGACAUUGAAAGGNAAGGUCCUAAUCUUGUUCAUAGGAGUGCACAAAAGUGGUUUUUGAUCCACAAAUGGAAGAUAUGGUUAGGAUUGAAUUCAGCGAAUUCUUUGAGUUAUUUGAAGAAGAACAUGUACAUAGGGAAGAGGGACACUACAAGGCUGUUUGGAAUGAAUGCAAAACAUGUGGUUGCUGCUCCUAUGUUAAUAUGGAAAAAAUUCUUUUAUCUUUUCAAGUUCAAGAACACUGAUCGCAGGAUGAUCCUUUUAUGCAACACCCUAUCUAAUGAAGGUACUUUUUUCCAUGAUUUGCACUUUUCACUAGUGUUAAAAUAUAAAAUUGGAGGUUUCAAGCAUGGCUCGUGUCCCGGGUCAAAAGAGGAGCUCGUAUCAGCUAACCAUCUAAAAAUAAGUACACAUGGGUGGAAUUCAAAACCCACGGCCAUGUGGUGCAUCAAUCAAGAUCAAUGCUGGAAAAGGACUGUUAUUACAAACUUGUGAAUGGGUAUGUAGAGGGACAAGAAGAUAUUUUGGUUCGUUUCUAUGAUGGUUUGUUCAAAAUAGUGCAAGUAUUGAUUCAUACUUCUAUGGAUCAAAAAGAGAGUGAGAUUGAUGACAUAAGAGCUGCUAAGCCAAAGAAAAAGGUUAGUUUGAAAAAAGAAGAGUUGAGUGAUGAUACUUUCAAUAUGGCUAAAACUGAUAUUAAGAAGGGUAAUGUCAUCUUGAGAUAUCCUUCGUUUGAAAGAAGUUACCAACUUGGAGUAAAGAAAAGGUCACAUUCUGUAAUAAAUAUUUGUUUUCAAGACCUACUGUCAUGGAAGUUUUAUAUAGGAGAACAACUAAUCUGGUCCUUACUGAAUUGAGGACAAUUCCUUUCGAAGAAGGAGGGAAUGAUCCGUGUUUGGAUAAUGAAGUCCCAAAAGGUUAUGGGUAGCUUAAUAUUAGGCUAGAAAGUUGUUUGGGAUUAAUGGCCUAUGGGGUGUGCAUGGUGACGUAGUUGAUGGAUUAGGGUUUUCUUAAUUAAAUUAAUAAAAGUUUAAUAAAUCCAAAACUUCAUUGAUUGUUUGAUUCAAAGCUUGGGUGGUUAUGGAAGCAUUUGGAAGGGUAUCAUUGAUGGCUCUCUUUAAACUUUGGGAGUUACACUCUUAUCAUUGAUGACUCUCUUUAAACUUUGGGAGUUACACUCUUAUCAUUGAUGACUCUCUUUAAACUUUGGGAGUUACACUCUUAUCAUUGAUGACUCUCUUUAAUCCUUGGAUGUUAAACUCUCUACAUCUUCUCAUAACCAAUUACUAGCAAUAUGAAGACAUGGACGUUUUUUAUUUUUGUCAUUCUUAAGUGUGGUAGACGUCUUUUUUGUGUUAUUUCAAGAGUUUCCUUAAUUUGCAUUGACUACUUUUAAUGAAUAAUUGGUUGGUUGGCUUGUAACCACCAAAUUUGUAAUAAAGGCUUGAUAUAAAGCCAAGUUUAUGGAUGGAAAAAGGUGAUAGACGAAUUUUUAUCAAAGAACCCUUUUGUUCACUUUGAAUGAUUGUCAUAGUUCACAAAUUAUCAUCUUUCGGACGUGAUCCUUGAGUUGAUCGAAUUCAAACUAAUAGGUCUUAGUUUGUCUUCAGAUUUACAAGCUAUAGGUCUAGUUUGUUUAUCAAAUCUAUCCUUUUAUUGUUUUUGUCUCAAACACUAUUCAGUCUCAAUACUAAAUAGCCCAUACACGUAUCAUAAGUGGUAUCAAAGCCCAGUUCCGAUUGGGUGUUGUGGAGAUCUUGUUCAAAAAAAAUCCUUCUAGGUUUGUUUAAUUUUAGUUCCUAUUCAGAAAUUGUUUUCCAAACAUGUUGCAUAAGUUAUAUUAUGAAGAAGAAAUAGAGGAAGAGAAUUUUGAAGAAGAGGAGGAAGAAGAUUCCGGUCCCAUCUACGACACCGAUGGGGAAGGGGAAUUUUGUGAAAGAAUAUAUUUCUUUUUUCCCUUUUGGUUUUGGAAUUUUGUUGCAAGGUUUUGUUACUAAUCACCCUAAUCAUCAGUCGUGACAUGCUUCUGAUUUUGAUUCCAUAUAAAACAUGAAGUGCAGCAUCAAAAUUACCUCUCUGGUACUCAAGUCUACCCAACAAAGCUCUGCCUUCCUUCAGUUUCAUGUAAAAUGGUAGGGGUUCUUUACGGGUGGUGAAUCGGACCGAUUGACUACAAAAUGGGGACAUUUCCACGAUGGUCUUCUUAAGUUUAUGUCCACAUAGUUGUCAUAAUCAAAACACUACAAAGAGUAAAUAUGGUAACUUGCAAAUUCUCGUCUGUGCAAAAAGACAUAAAUGCCCUUCUCAUAUUGUGUAACAAAUGCAAUAUUGACACUCACCUGAUGAUGUUUACACAAUUGUCCUUUGACAGGUGUCUUGAGACAUUUGAAGCUGUAUAAAAAUAAGAAGUUGGAUUUAGAGACAUAUUAAUUAGUUAAGAUAAAUUAAGUGCUAUUUGUAUUAAAAAUAAACUAGAACCAUAUGGGGCAAUUUAGUGAUGUUGUAGAAGUCCCUUCAGGUAAUUCAUUAUCUAGAUCAGGAGCAGCAGCAACUCGUGGCACAUAGUUGGGAAGGAUGGAAGAGAUUGGAUUUGAAAUCAUACUCAUGAAGGCAACAAUUAUAAUACAUUUCCCUAACAAAGAUUUAUAAUAUUUUUUUAUUUAAGAUGGAGGAUUCAAGUAUAUAAAUUAUAUGUAUAUUAAAAAAGCGUUAAAAGUAUAAAUAUACCAUUGAACUGGCCCACCACUUGAAGAAGAUUGGUUCCCAAUUUGAGCAUAUGUGUCACAAGUGUUGGAUUCGGUGGCCCUAGAUCCUAAUGAGGUCAUGAAUUUAGUAUUUUUAAUGGUAUUAUUUAGAAGUUGACUUUAUUGACUAUUAAAUGAAAACAUGGAUUUAGUAUUUGAUGGUAUUUUUAGCUAACUUUGGUUGACUUUUAAGAUACAUGAAAUGGUAGGGAAACACGAGAAAUAGGAUCAUGUAACACCAUUUACAAAAGCAAAUUGGCUCAAAUGGUUAAUAAUACAAACCUUAAAAACACAAGUCCUCCCAUUCACUACUUUUCCAUUCAACAAAAAGCUAAAAGCCCAUAGUAGUCUCCGUUAUGUUCUUGAUCCUUAAUUCAACAUGUGCUGAUUCAGGGGUUGGUUGCAACCUUUAAAUCAAGAUUUACAAAUUAAAAUUAUAAUCUCAACAACAUAUUACAUAUUAUAUAUUACUAAUUAUUGCUUAGUCGUACCAUAGGGUGUGAAGGCAAGUAAGGUGCCAAGUGUUUCUUCACACCAAUGGGGCCCAUUCCGGGCCUACCACCACCAUGUGGAAUGCAAAAUGUAUUGUGAAGGUUUAGAUGACAAACAUCAGCACCAUUCCACCCUGGACUUGUUAAGCACCAUUCCACCCUAGACUUGUUAAACCAACCUGUAAAAAAUCAAAACCAAAGAUAUUUUUUUUAUAUAUUUUCAUUUGUUUGUAUGAUGUUUUAAUUAAAUUAAAACGUCACAAGAAGUGUAAUUUUUAUGUACCUGUGCAUUCAUGUUAGCUCCAUCCAUGUAAACUUGACCUCCAUUGUCAAGAAUAAUCUUGCAAAUCUCAUCAAUACCCUCCUCAUAAACUCCGUGAGUAGAAGGAUAGGAAACCUAAAAAACAGAGAAUUUACUUUAGUUAUUAAUCUUUUUCUUUUUAUUAUCUAUUUUUAUGUUUUGAUAAAAAAAAAAUUGGUUACCAUAAGAGCAUAUACAUACUCCUUGUUUGCCUCAGCAUCCUUGCGUAUCUCUUCAAUAUUGAUAUUACCUUUGGAGUCAGUUCCCACAGUAAUAAUUUUCAUUCCACACAUAGCAACACUUGCAGGAUUUGUUCCACGUGUAGACACAUGGAUGAUACACACAUUACGAUGAUGAUUUCCUGUCGCCUAUAGUUGACAAAGUCAAUGACUUUGACUUUAUAUAUAUAUAUAUAUAUAUAUAUGUAUAUAUAUAUGUGUGUGUGUGUGUGUGUGUGUGUGAUUAAACUAAAACCAAUAUAAAAAGGGUAUAAUAAUUUAGCAAUUUAGCAUACCAUAUGAUAAGCUCGGACAUUCCAACAUACUCUCCAGCAGCUCCAACAUUUGGUUGCAAAGAGAAGGAGACGAAUCCGGUUAAGGUACACAACAUGUCACCCAAAUUCUUGAACAUUUCCUGCAAGAUAUUUUAUGUUGCUCUCAAGUUAAAAAAAAUAUGUCAAUAGAAAUAUAAUUUGGAAUUUUAAGUCAAAAUUACCUGAUACCCCUGUGCCUGUUGGGUAGGAGCAAAAGGAUGCAAAUCUGCAAAGACUAGCCAUGUCUCAAGCAUCAUCUCUGUAGUUGCAUUAAGCUUCAUGGUACAAGAUCCCAGAGGAAUCAUAUUGUGGCAUAAUGACAGAUCAUUUGACUACAACUUACUAAUGUAUCUUAGUAGCUCAUGCUCCGUAUGAUAACUAAAAUAAAAUUAUUAAUAAAAAAGUUGACUUUAAAUUAUGUAAUCUAAGUUUUGAAAAAGAUCCAUACGUGUUGAAAAUCAAAUGAGUCAAAUAUGGAGUUUCCCAGACAAAUCUGGAAGGGAUAUUAUCCUCAACCUCUGGUGCAAGUGACAUGGCACUGAAUGCCACCUAGAAUAAAGAAUCAAGAAUCAAGAAUCAAGUUUCUUGAUUUAUAUAAAGGUUCGUUAAAUCAAAAGAAAGGGCAAACUCACGGGUUUUCCCAAGGCGAAAACUUUGAACAAAUUAUCAACAUCUUCAAUCAUUGUUGUCUCAUCAAAAGAGAUAGUGAUCUGAGAGAAGCAGUAGCAUAUUUGACAAUAAGUUUAAGAGCACACAGAUAGACCUGUGGUGUCAAUCUGCAACAAAAAAUUUUCUGGUUUCAAAUCUCCAUGAAUCAUUCGAUGCUUAUAACAUCCUAGCCAUAUUUAAAAUCCUAAAAAAAAUCAAAACAUGAAAUUUCCAACAAAUAUUUAUACUUACAUCUAAUGAAUUCAACUUAGGAUUAAGAAAAUACCUUCAGAGAACCUCUAUAACACAUGAAUGUUGAAGAGGACGAUGAUUUUUUUCAGUAAUGUGGCUUUCAUCUUUGAUUCUUUCUGUAGGAAAGAAAGUUUCACAAAUAUUUUAUAUAUUAAACAUAAUCAGAUGAUGUGUGACUAAUAAUUACCUUGUAGCAGGUUCGUCUAGCAUCAGAGAGGACGUCCGUAUGGGUUUUCUCUGGCUAUUUUGAUGUAACCAUAUGAUUAGUGGGACCAUCAUUUGUAAUAAUUGGUGGUUGCUAGGAGCAAGUGAAAAGGAAUACGCAAGUUACUUGAUUAAAUAGAAAAGGAUAAUAUGAGACUGGGGUGAUCAAAUUCCGGCAACAAAGCCGAUUCCGAUCCCGAUUGACGGUGAUGCCUCCUUGAAAGACCGAUCGUUGUUGAGAUAGAGAAAAAAGCAGAAAAGCGGUGUGUAUUUGCAGGCCCAUAGUGGAUUAGAAAAUUAACUAAAUAUGAUUGUGGAUGGAAAAAGAGAAAAGGUGUUCUUCUAGAAAUUGAUGGAAGAAGUGGUGCAUGAAAAUGGUGGAUAGCAAACCCUAAAAUUCAACGAGAUUUGUGAAUGCCCAAAGCUUCAUCAUAAACAGGAGGAUCAUGAUUAGUGAAAUCAAUCCAUUGAGGAGCGUUAAUGUCUUCACCUUUUCGAACACAGCUACAUGCAUUGAUGGAUUAGAGAUAGAAAGGGAAAAAGAAGAAGAAAAUGACUUCAUGUUGAUAUGUUGAUAUACGCUCUUCGCUGCUAACUAUGUGGGGAGGAAAACCUAGUAAGGAAUGAGACGCAAGAACGACGUUACAAUGCGAUGAGUAUGCGUAUUUUAGUGUAAGAUGAUGUCAGCAAAACGAUCCUAAGGUGGAGAGCUAAGGAGUAAAAUGGAAUCAAGGGCCCUUGUUUCUUCAAUUUAGAAUUUAAGGUUCUCUUUUAAUAAUAUUUAGAGAUAGGUAUAGUUUAUGGUUCAUUAGACUACAAUUACACUACAAAAAGGGGUUCAGUUACACUAUUGAAAAGUUUUUUCAUUCACUCUACACGUAAACUCGUUAACAUAAAUUAUGAGACACUACUUCAUUGUACUCUUAAAGUACGGGCUAAAAUUCAUGUAAGUUAUAACUAGAGUCUCUUGUAGGGAGAGCGUGAUAGUUGUAUAUAGAUCUAUAUUGGGAUUGACAACCCACACCCAAGCUGCUUGCAACAGCUCGGCCAGCAGGUCAGUGGUGACAAAUGUGAUAACAUUCCGAUGCCUGAAGAACGUCGCAGCGGGUCUACUAUGUCAUAGUAUGGUUAUAACGACUCACAUAGGAAGAUGACGACACAUAUAGUUUACGGGACUUCUUAUUUCAAGAAGGGUUUUAUUCAUUAAAAAAUUUCAUAUACUAUCAUAAGUAUGAAAAAUACUUGUACAUUUUAGUCUUUCGCUCUUAAGACUACAAAACAUUUUAUAAGGAAAAUAUUGGAUUUUUCUUGUACAAACACUACAUUUACAAAUAACAGAUUUGAACUCUUCAUACAACAGCUUAUGAACUUACCAACUUAAUUGUUGACACUCUUUCAAAAAUUACUUGUAUUCUUAGGUAAUCAAUAAAAACAGGUGACUACCAGCUUUUGAGGAUGGAACACUUCAACAUUUAUCAAAACAUUUUGUCAUUAUAUUGUAAUCAAUUUUGAAACAUGUAACUUGUGAAAUCAUGUAACUUUCUCGAUUAUUUUUAUAAUGGUUGUAUUUACUUUGAGCACUAUUAUACUCGUUGUUGUGAUAAUAUACAUGAAGUCCUCCACCCCCGGACAUUUCCGCAAUCCUUAGUUUGGGGGUGUGACAAAUGGGAAUAAAGGAAGGGGCUUGUUUGGCUAGGGUGUUUUGAAACGAUUGUGCGUAGUAGUGGUAUAUGUAUGUACACGGAUCGACAUGUGAGUAAUGGAGUAGUAGUGUUGGCCAUCCUCUUCACUGUUAAUCGCAAAGAUAGUAAGGGAGGGGAUAACGAACCCUAGAAGGCCAUUACAUUGAGUAGUCGCAAACAUUUAGAGAGUGAAAGGUAGUGAAGUGGUGCAUUGGUGGCUACUGUUUUAGCGAUCCGAUAGGCGGGGNUACUAAACUUGAAUUUCGAAGAGAGACCCUUGCGAUUGCAAAAGGAUAAGAGUGCAAAUGACCAUACUAGCCCAAACCAGAAAAAAUCAAGAAAAUGAAAAGGAGAAAAAGAAUAAAAACACAUAAGGCAUUUCGGUCAAUUCACCAUCAUGUCAGAAUAAAAUUUAAUAUAAUCCCCAGCAAAUGAGGUCGAAUUUCUUUUCUCCAUUGGGGAGAUUAAGAACAAGAAGAAAUUAUAGAGAGAGAGAGGAGAGAGAGAGAGAGAGAGAGAGAGAAACAAAAGCGUUGUAAGAAAUAAUGAUUUUGGAGUAGGAUUUUUAGUUUUCUUCCGAUUCAAAGUUUGAACUAAUCUGGAUUUUUAUUUUUGAGACAAGAAUGUCGCCCAAACUUCUUUUGAAUGAACGAAGCUUUAACGAGUAGUAUCUAAUGUCUAAUUACUUGUAUAUGGGUACACUUUAUUGUGAUUGGAUAUGAGCAUUUCACACAUCACAAACAGAAUAAUCCUCACCAUCUAAUGCAGAUUCGACGAUCCGGAUCAUGUUUCUUUUUUUUUUAUUAUUAUUUAAGAUAAUAGGCUUUAUUUGUUGCACCUUUGGCUUUACAAUUUUUAAUUAAGACAUUGAUUAUGAAUGGUUUAUAAUAUGGUAUAUAUGUGUGUGUCUCUCUCUCUCUCUCUCUCUCUCUCUAUAUAUAUAUNUAUAUAUAUAUAUAUAUAUAUAUAUAUAUAUAUAUAUAUAUAUAUAUAUAUAUAUAUAUAUUUGUAGUGUAUUUGAAACAUAAAAACUAAAAAGAUAAAAUAUUGUUGUUCUUACAAUCAUCAAAUCUCAAUCAAGAAUCUGAGAAUGGACCGGGAAAGAAGAAUAGAGAAGGUUGUUGGCUGCAUUUUAGACUUUAACUCUUUUAAUUUUCAUGAAUCGAGAUUGGAGGGACAGGAGGACAUAAGGUAAGGUCGGCCCUGUGUACUUAUUUAGGCCGAAGCUCGAUACCCUCCACGAUAAGACCCUUCUUCCAGUGUCCCAACUUGAUCUCCUCAUACGCCAUCUCAACCUUCCCGUUAUCUCCUUCAUUGUAAUCAAAUUCUCCCAGUUUGAUCUCCAUCCACCCAUCCUUCCUCUUAUGAGGAAACACAUAGUUUUCUUGCACACGAUGUGGCCUUUGAAGAUAAACAUUUUCGGUUUCCAUUUCUGACCCACCAAAACUUAACCUUGUUUUUGCUGGCACGGAAACUCCUCUGGAAUCCUUAGUAGUUCCAAAGACAAGAUACGCAUCAUAUGUAUUGUUUUGGGACAACAUCCCUGCUACUAUUCUUCCGUGGAUUGAAAGCCAAUAAACUUGUUUAAGUAUGCACACCUCCGGGAACCUGCACAAUUAAAUGUCAUUGAAUAUAUAUGAUUCCCAAAUUAAGGUACUAUUACAUGUUAUGUUAUGUCAGAGUGACUUUGUCACCAUAAAGAGAGAAAUAGAGACCUUGAUUCUGGUAUAUGUGUCCAUUCCCAGUAUUGAGUGUCAUGUUGCCAUGUAAUUGAUAGCUCCUUUGCUCCUAACAUAUAACACUUCUUCCCACUCUCCUUAUCUAGCUGGAAGCUCUAUUUUUUGAAUUAUGAGUCCAAAUAUUAGUAGAAGUUGUUUAAUAAAAAAUUUAUAUCGUAAAACUCUACUUUCUCAGGUAGCAAGGUAUGAUUGAAGUUGAACAAAACAUUGUCUAAUUUGUAUGACUACCCUUCAUAUACUUGACCCAACUCCAAUAACAUUAUCUAGAGUUCAUGAGUUAACUUUGUGGAAUAUUUUAUACAAUUGGUGUUGGAUUAAUCGGUUGAUCUAAAUAAGGAAAUUUAGUUGUAGGGGUAUUUUAGGAAACAUUUUUUUUAGGUGUUUUAUUUGUGUUUAAGGACUAUUUUAGAUUUUAUAUAAACUGGUUAUUAACCUUUCUUUGUACUUAAUUUAGAAUCAGGUUUCCAGUAAUAAAGUAUCGUUUACCAAGUAAUCUCAAUCUCAAAGUUUCUCUGGGUUUUAUCCCACUGUAUCUUUUUCUUCCUGUUUCCAUUUUAUUCUUGGACACCAAGGUAACAUUAGUUUGAUAUUCAACAACUGGCACACAGAUCGAAGAGGAUAUGUAGACGUAAUUAGCAAUUAACGAUGAUAAAGCAAAUAGUGUAUCAUAAGGAUGAGCGAUUUACCAAAUUGCCAGGGUGGAGGAGGAUAUGUGACCAUUGCUAACCCACCAAAACUGACCGUUGUUUUAGCUGUCACAGAAAGUCCCUUGGAAUUGGUACUAGUUCGAAAGACAAGAUACGCUUUAUAUGUACUAUUUGGUGACAGCAUUACAGAUGCUAUUUUGCCAUGGAUGGAAAGCCAGUGUAACCUUUUAAGUAUACAGACCUCUGGAAACCUACACAAAUGGAAACGUAAUAUGUGUUCAGUUACAUUAUACUCCAAUAUAUAUAGAGGAGAUGGGACCAAAGAUACCUUGAUUCAGGUGCGUGUUCCCAUUCCCAGCUCCUUUGCACCCAACAUAUAGCACUUUUUACCACUCUCCAUAUCUAGCUGGAAGCUCUGUUAAUGGGAUUAUGUGAGACCAAAUCUUAGUUAACAGAAGCAUCGUUUAACAAUUAUAGCGGAGAAAAAAAUCAUUCUCCUCAUGUUGCAAGGCAUCAUUGGAUUCAAAGUUUUUGUCAAUGAGUUGACUUUAGUAAAAUCUUCACUUGUAGAAGCGUUGUUAAUUUAACAAUCAGGCAAACAGAUCAAAGAGGUUAUAUAGAAAGCUUUAACAAGUAUAAAGGAAAUAGUGUAUGGCAAGGAUGAUCGAUUUACCAGAUAGCCACGAUCGAGGAGGAUAUGUGUGUACGAUAAGGAAAAGUACAGUUUGUUUUUAGAGCCAAAAUCCAGCGGAGAAACUGCCCUGGCAAUUAGUUCACGGUAAUCCGAUCGCAGAAGCCGCUCCCAAAAGGCAUCAGAAUAUGCAGCUGAGUCGAAUCCUUUUGGCAUGCCACAUGUCUGCAUGCAUAUGUUCGUGAAGUUAGUGAUAUUAUCUCGAGAUAAAUAUUUCUUCGUUCAUCGUGUGUGUAUGUGUGUUUCACAACAAAAAAAAUCCCUCCGUUAAUAAUAUGUGUGGCCUGUAAUGUAAUCUGCUUUAUAUAUAUAUAUAUAUAUAUAUAUAUAUANNNNNNNNNNNNNNNNNNNNNNNNNNNNNNNNNNNNNNNNNNNNNNNNNNNNNNNNNNNNNNNNNNNNNNNNNNNNNNNNNNNNNNNNNNNNNNNNNNNNNNNNNNNNNNNNNNNNNNNNNNNNNNNNNNNNNNNNNNNNNNNNNNNNNNNNNNNNNNNNNNNNNNNNNNNNNNNNNNNNNNNNNNNNNNNNNNNNNNNNNNNNNNNNNNNNNNNNNNNNNNNNNNNNNNNNNNNNNNNNNNNNNNNNNNNNNNNNNNNNNNNNNNNNNNNNNNNNNNNNNNNNNNNNNNNNNNNNNNNNNNNNNNNNNNNNNNNNNNNNNNNNNNNNNNNNUAUAUAUGAAAAAGUUCAAUAGAGAAUAUAUUCUUAUAAAAAGAAUAAUAAUAAUAAAUAAUACUAGAAGAAAAAAUAAUAAAAAAAAUAUGGAAUAAUUUAUCAUAUGCAUUAUAGUUUUCAUUCUUGCUAUCAAAAUAUGUUUGCUUCAAAAUAAGUAUAACAAAAGACUUACUUGAAUAUUUAAUGCAUCCGCAAUUGUAUUGAUGAUCCUAUCCACCGUAGAGCGUUUCCUUACGUCCACGUUAAUGCACUCAUGUGCAAUUUAAUUAAAUUUUUCAAAGGAACUCAUAUCAAUUUGAGCUCUGAUAGUGGGAUCUAUUAACUUUUCAUGUCCGUCAACAAGUCCAUGAUCAUCAUAGUAGCUUCGGACUCAGGGGCGGAUGUAGCAUAUUGGAAGGGUAUGCAAAUGCAUACCUUUAAAUAAUUACUAGGAUUACUUUUUUUUCAUUAAAAAAAUAUAUAUAUAUUUAUAUAUUUAUUAUAAAUGCAUACCCUUGUCAAAUUAAAUGCAUGCCCAAACUAUAAUUUCAACCUAAGAUUCUCUUUUCUUAUAUUUGACCGAUUUUUUUUUUAUUUAGUAAAUACAUGUCAUUAUUAAAAACAAAUCCAAAUGAAAAAAAUAAAAUAAAAUUGUUAGAAAUCCUAAUCAAGUUGGGUUUAUCAACAAUAUAUAAAAGCUACAAAAUAUUUGAACCAAGAAAAAUACAAACUCUAUAUCUAUCACAAAUCAUAAUUUUUAUAAAACCAACUAAAAGGUAAGAAAAUAAAUCUGAAAAAUCAAACCCAAAGAAACCCUAACCGUUGGACACGUUUUCGCCUCUCUUGUUACCAUAGAGUUCGACAGAAGAAAAAGAAAGUGAGAAACUUCGAAUUUGUUCGUCUUGAUAUCUUGCUAACAUCGUCUCUGGUUCUUGGCCUCUUGUUCUUCAGGUUAGUUUUUGUUUUACUCUCGCAAUCGCCUUCAGUGGUUCAUAGUUUCAUGUUGGAUUUUGUGAGCUUUAAAUCAAUUUCUCUCGUUCACUUUUGUGUUUAUGAAUAUGUGCUAACUGCUAAAGAUAUAGUGAAUUUACUUUCUUGUCUUCUUGAUAAUUGUAUCAUAUAGUUGUCAAUAUUGUUAUAUUGAUAAAUAGAGACUAAAAAGUACAUGUGUAUUCGUAAUUGUUAGUGGAGUCAAUGGCAAUUUAUAUUUUCUAUGUUAAAAGGCAUGUGGCAUGUCACUAGGUAAUUAUGUCAAACCAAUUUCCAUCUAGGCAUGCACAAGAAACACUAUACAUAUAUUUAACAAUGCUAUAUAGAAUUAAAUUAAAAUGAUAAAGUAAACUAUGGUUUAUCAGUUUAGAUGUUUAGCUUUUUUAUUUAUAGUUUUAUUUUAUCUUUUAAUUAGGUUUAAUUACUACUAAGAAAUGUGUAUGUAAAUCCUACUAAUUAAUUCCUUUGCUGUUUCACUUUUAGAUAAUUAAUUUUGUUAACCUUUUAGGUUAAAUAUAUUCUUACGAUAACAAUGAAUGAUGAUGAAAACGAGUCAUCAAAACGCAAGAAGAAACAUGGGACGUUAGAUUGGUUUGUUAAUGCUCAAAAGAAAACAAAGACUCAAGAUGAUUCUUCGUCGACGCCCGAUAAUAUCACACAUGGUAGCACCAAAUUUCCAUCUAGGGAAAGAGAAAGUCAAUUUGAUGUAAAUACACUUCCACAUGAUCCAGGCUUGAGGAAGAAUAUCAUUGAUUAUCAUCCCAACGACCAAGAUGCAGUGAGGAAAGAACAUAUACAAAGAGGUCCUUGCCAACCACGUGGUCAUCAAUUUCUUCAAACAUAUUUUGGAGGCUAUAUGUGUCGCUUUAUUCCUACUUGGUUUGAUAAACAUCAAUGGCUUGAAUGUAGUAUUGAAAAAGAGGCGGCUUUUUGUUUUCUAUGCUACUUAUUUAGGGACAAGGAUGAAUUUAAUGGAAAAGGUGGAGAUGCUUUUGUUACGGAUGGCUUUAAAAGUUGGAAUAUGCCAAAUAGGUUCGAUAGACAUGUGGGAGCUGUUAAUAGUAUCCAUAAGCGAGAUAGAGAAAAAUUUGAGAUGCUUACCAAACCCAAAAAGUCGAUACAAAGUGCUUUUGAGCAACAAUCUACAAAAGCCCAAAAAGAAUAUCACACUCGUUUACUUGCUUCGUUACACUGUAUAAGGUAUCUUUUACAUUAAGGAUUGCCAACCCGGGGUCAUGCUAAAAGUCAAGAAUCAAGUAAUAAAGAAAACUUUCUCGAACUUCUUGAAUGGUUAGCAAAACAUAAUGAGGAAGUUGAUAAAGUUGUAUUGAAAAAUGCUCCAAAGAACUUACAAGUAACCUCCCCUUCCAUUCAAAAAGAUAUCAUACAUGCUUGUGCAAAAGAAACAACUAAACACAUUAUUAGAGAACUUGGUGAAGAUUACUUUGCAAUAUUGGUGGAUGAAUCGGCUGAUGUAACUCAUAAUGAGCAAAUGUCUUUGUGCUUGCGGUAUGUAGAUAAGAAAUGAGACAUAGUUUAAAGUUUUCUCGGUGUUGUACAUGUCGUUGAUACCACAACUUUAUCUCUUAAAAAGGCAAUUUAUUCUUUGCUUGCGGAGUAUUCAUUAAGUCCAUCUAAAAUUCGAGGCCAAGGAUAUGACGAAGCUAGCAAUAUGAAGGGUGAAAGUAAUUGCCUUAAAACCCUAAUCUUAAAAGAAACCACAUCCGCAUACUAUGUCCAUUGUUUUGCUCAUCAACUUCAACUAACAUUAGUUGCAGUUUCAAAAAAGAGCAUAGAUUGUGGUUGGCUCUUUGAGAUACUUACAAACUUACUGAAUGUCAUUGGAGUUUCUUGUAAGAGAAAAGAAAUGUUGCGAGAAGCUCAAGCUCAAAAGGUUGCACAAGCAUUUGAUGAUGGUAAACUUGAAAGUGGCAAAGGAUUGAAUCAAGAGAUAAGUUUGGGAAGGCCGGGUGAUACUCGUUGGGGAUCCCACUAUAAACUGAUUGUGAAUGUUAUUUCCCUAUAUCCUGUGAUAUGCAAGGUUCUUGAUAAGAUUGGAGAUGUAUCUUCAAGUUCAGAUGACCGGCUAAAAGCGGAUGUUGAUGGUUAUUCACUUGAGUCUUUUGAUUUUAUAUUCAUGAUACAUUUGAUGAAGAUUAUUUUUGGUGUGGCAAAUGAUUUGAACAAAGCUUUACAAAGAAAAGAUCAAGACAUAGUUAAUGUUAUGGCGUUGGUGACGUUGACCAAACAACGAAUACAACAAGUAAGAGAUAAUGGGUGGGAACCUCUCUUAAGUUCAGUCGUAUCCUUUUGUGAAAAAAAUUGCAUCGAAGCUCCUAAUAUGGAAGAUGUAUAUGUCCCGAAUGGUAGAAAAAACGUGGCAAAUUACACACCACGAAUCUUCAUCAUUUUCGAGUUGAAGUCUUUGUUGCGAUCAUUGAUUUGCAACUUCAAGAGUUGAAGAACCGAUUGAUGGGUUUUGGUCAUAAGACAUCCUAUGUGCUCAUACAAACCCUAAAGCUUGGAUCUAGGUUUCUCUAUUGUACAUACUUUGAAUCCAAGACUUUGAACCCUAAUUCUAGCAUAUGGAAAUCAAAAUUCACAGGUAAUUAGGUUUAAGAACAUACCUUGAUUGUUAUAUAGCAAUAACAAUCCAAUUCCUCCUUGAAUUGACCUUGGAAAGCUGAUAGUCACAAGUGUCACUCCUCUAAUGGCUUACAAACACCAUAAGCAAGUGGAGAAGGUAUAUAGAGAGAGGAGGGAGGUAGGAAUUCGUCCUUAGGACCUCUUGGGAAGGGUUAGACGGAUUCCUAAGCCCUAGAGGGCCCUAGAGGGUUUAUAUAGGUGUAAAGAUUAAGGUUUUAGUCCUUAUCCUUAUCUAGUUGCUUGUCCACCAAGCAACCAUAAGAUAAGUCCUAGAAACCCUUAUCCUAGUCGAAUUCUAAGGGAUUUACACCUCAAAUUCGUUCACCAUAUAUAUAAGAUAAUCCUUACCUGAUUUUGUAACUAUCACAUAAUUACAAUUCAGCCCCUCUAGUUUAAUUAAUUACACUUGAUCACAAAAUUAAUUCUUAAUUAAUUAUUGACCAAUAUUAAUUAAACAAAUAUGAUUUCUCCUUUAAUAUAUUAUUCUUAUAACAUAUUAAUAAAUCAUAAUAACCUCUCUCUCUUUAUUUAUUUCUCCAAUCAAGUUGCUUUGGUGAAGGCAACCCAAAAGGACCAUGCACCAUCGGGUCAAGUACAUACCAAAAUAGUUAUGGACUUAGACACUAAUCCAACAGUCUCCCACUUGGAUAAGUCUAAUAACUAUUCUGCGUAUGACUUCAGAUCCUGAUCUGCAAUCGUAGCUUUCCAAAGCCGCUGUCAACUCUGAUCAUAUCAGAUACGCGUGUCCUUAGAUAAGGGAUCAUAUAUUCCUCCAUUCUAGAUAUCAUAUGAGAUAUGAUUUCAAAUCAUUCUCUUUGUACUAUAUCUCGAUUUCCGAUUUAUGACGACUGACUAAUUGAACAAAUCAAAUUAGCCCUAGCCCGGCCGAGCAUUUACGUUUGUCAUCACUAAAUCAUCGAGGGGCCCAAAGAUAUCGCUUUUAUCCUACUUUGGAUAAAAGGAACGGAUAAACUUUGAUACAAUGCUUGCUUGCACUCACUCACCGAAUCACACACAACAAUAUGUUUUAUAACACCAAGUUACUAGUGCGUUUACAUAUUAUCAAUGUGCAACCGAUUUGCAAGAUACAACUCACACAUCUCGGUUUCAAGAAUAUAAGAUGUUAUCGUCUCACCAAUCACUCGUGAUACAAUUCAUGGAGUGAUCCAAGUGAGCGUGGGUUUAAUCCAAUGCUCAAAUCAUAUUCAUAAGCACUCAUGAACGUUGCAGCAAACAUUUGCUUAUGUCUAAUACUCUUUUAGACAAUCCACACACCAAUUCACGACAGUCUUCAUUCAUAUCUACUUCCAACAUAUGAACGACUGUGGCCCGUUUGAAUAAUUCGAUUAUUCUUAAUAAACUCAAUUAUUCUGGAAGUCAAAACAUGCAAAUGUGAAACACAAGAAUAAUACUAAUCCCAUAUGGCCUCAAACCUUUGAGUAUAAAUAAAACACCUUUUAUUUAUCACCAUAUCGAUUACUCAUUAUUUGUCGUUUCGGGUAAUCAACUUCUUACUUGAAUUAUUACACUUGUCCCAUGCUCCUAGCAUGCACACAAUGUUUACCUAUGGUUCUUACUUUGUGAAAUAGAUCAAAUUGAACACAUUUCCAAUCAUUCUCAUUUCACAACUCCAAAUCCCUUUUCCAUAAGUGAAAGAAUAUCAAAUUCUUGCUACUUAUAGAAUAUGCUAGAUUCUAACAUUCUAUGCAAUGAUCCUUUCGUAAUGUCACUGCACCAAAGUCACAAAGACUAUUGCCAAUGAUAUUACAAAGUCCUCUAUCGGAGAUUGUUACAAGACAAUUCCUUAGAUAUGAUGUCUCUCACUCAAAGUACAUUCCUUUGAACAUCCUUUUGCAUAAAAGUUUCUAAUCUAGACAUAGAUUUUCAAUAUUCAAUUCCCAAUAUGGACACGCUUCCAUAUUUUCCAUAUGACAACUCAUUCUUAAUAGAAUCUUAUCUAUUCGUAAUGAUGUCGAUAUGGUCCAUCCAAUAUGGAAACAUUUCCAUAAUUUCCAUAUGACAACUCAUUCUUAAUAGAAUCUUUUCUAUUCAUAAUAAUGUCGAUAUGGUCCAUCCAAUACCAUGCUUCCAACUACUCACAAGCGACCAAUCCUCGUCGAACUUUGGAUUGUCCUUUGAUAGUUGUUUAAUUAUUUUAGUCAAAACCAAUUCUAGUCCCUUUUCCCUCUAAAUGCGCUCGACAUUUGGAAAAUUUUAGAAUGGUCAAACAUUAAAGCAUUUGCAAUCGAUCCUAUACCCGAAGCGUAUGGGACACGACGCAUAAUGUUUUAUUUGCUAUGUUCUCAAAAUUCGAAUUGUGAAGAGGAAUGCCGUAAUCAUAAUCGAAAUUUUAAGAACACACUAUGUACCUUUGACUAAAUUUAUUAACAUUUCUCAACCUAAUCCUUUAGAUUUGAAAUGAAGCAUAAUAUUCUCUCCCUUAAUUAUAGCAAAACAACUUUACAACCCUUACGACUUUGCAAGGUAUAACUCUUGUUUUCUAUAAUUAAUAUUGCCAACUUGCAAUACGUGCCUUAAUAAUCAUACAAUCAUAACAUUUAUGCUCCCACUAUCAUGAUGAUUAUUAUAAAACAUAACACUUAUGCUCCCACUAGCUUCGACAUGUAUUCAUAAACAUCUUAACUUUCAGAAAAACAAUGCUUAUUGAAUUUCUUAAGUUCAUGUUUCUAAUACUUAGUGCUUUGAUAAUCUUUUAUCAAGGCUUCUUGAACUUAUACACCUUUGCCUUCGAUAGUUCAUAUGUGUGUCUAAACAAUUAAGACUAAUUGCCAAACCUCACAAUUCAAAUUAUGGAAAGGGAUACCGUAACCAUAAUCGAAUUCGAGAAUGCAAUUUUACAAUCACUAUCUUCUUAAAAUCUUUCUUAGUGAAAGCAUUUCCUCACAAUCAUUUUCAUGAAGGAGGAAAUCUUAUGACACUUAGAUUUAAACGGUGUAUGUGUUCCUAUCCAUGUGAAUUUGUUAAAACCAAAGUUUACGACAAAUUCAAACUCAUAUGGACCGAACUUUCUUAAUCUUGAUUUCUUGCCUUAUGGUAGCACAGCUGCCCACCAUGUCUUCCAAGUAGUUAAGCAGCUCACCUUUUCUUAUCAAUGUACUUUCCAUUGAUCAAGGUCCUUGCCUUUUAUGCAUUCAAAUGAGAACUCAUAGGACUCACAUGCAUAAUUAACUCGAUUGGAUUGGCACAGAAACAAAAUAAUGUCAACACGAUAGGUUGUAAACCUCAACUCGUGUGCUAGUGAUGAUCGAUAAGGUUUUUUUGAUUUGUUCUUGAAACCUUUCAAGACCAUUAAGACUCCCACUGACUCCUUGACAUAUAAGAUUCUCUUGUCAAUAAACAUUUCUUGACAAACAAAUAUUCAAGAGUUAGUGUAGUUUUUAUCAAAACACUUCAUAAAUUGGUCCUAGUUGGUCUUUGUCUUAUCCAAGACAUCACAACUUUCCACAUUUGAUGAAUGUUAUAAACCUUCUUAAUACUUUUCACUCAAUGUCACAAUCUUAACUCUAAGACUUGUUUUGGAACGAAGUAUGAUUGACUUCUUGAUUUAACCAUUUCUUCAAUUCUUGAUUCCUCUUCUUAGACAUACAAUUGUACUAAGACUCACUUAGAGGAUCAAUUGAGAUAUGGUUCUUAAUCAUUAAGACCUAUCAUAAAGCAUAAAAGGUACUCUCCCUUCUUCUUAGAAUGGAGAAACUUUUAUCUUUCUGCCUACUUGAUUCUUCUUAUUCGUUCUGCUAUUGAUUUAAACUUUUUCAAUCAAUUCAGAAUUACACUUAAUCUUAUAAGUAUAAUCAUAUUUACUAAACCUUUAGUAAAUCAUGACGAAUAUCUUUGUUACUCUUAUGGUGGACUUGAUCAACACGCAACUUUGUGUACUCGAUCUCCUAGUCCUUCACUUGACACUUUGUCAAUGAAUUAGUCUAAUUUCCAAAUAUGAAAUUUCUCAUUCAUCGUGCAACCAAGUUGCAUGAUUCCAAGUUUCUGUCCAAUUGAAACUUGGGCGAUGAGAAACUCUCCCUAUUUGGUAAACUCUCGACUUUCCAUAAAUAACAUAAUAAGAACCAAAUCCAUUAUUGCUAAUAAUAGAAACAUUCAAACAUCAAUUUUUCAUAUACGCCAUUGCAAGGAUAAAUAAAUAAUAUAAAAUCAAAAUUUAUUUUAUUGCGGAAAAAAUUUGUCCUUACAAUGCAAUUCAUUGAAAAACUAUGCUAAUACAUCUUUCUUAGCAAUCUAAUUCUAACUCUAAGUAGUAGCUCAAGAAUCUAAUCUUCGAGAAAUGCGAUCGAAAUCCAUUCCUUCACGGUUAGAUUCUGCUCACUUCUUCCCUUAAGCUUCCUUUCUUUUCUUCGAUCCUACAAAACAUCAAUUGUAAUCUUAUCACAUUAUGUAUUAAGAAUCUAGAAUAGAAGCUUAAAAGAGUUAGUUAAUGGAUUUUACCUAUAUUAGAGCCAUACGUUUCGACUCUCCCAUCUCUUAGAUCUCUUAGGUAAAUGGGGCAGCUUCGUCUCCAAUGCCCUUUCUCUUGGCAAUAAAAGCAAAUUGACUCUUUUGGAACAUGACAUGGAACUACUUCAGACAUUGCCUUUCUCUUAUGAUCAAACUUUUCGAUCAUAGCAUGUCUUUCGUUGCCAUUGUCUAUAUCCAUAGAGGUCUUGAAGGCAGAUUCACCAAUCAACUUUGCUUUUCUAUUGCGCCAAACCAUUGCUGAUUCAGCAGCAAUAAGCAUAUAGGUGAGAUCUAUAAGGGUCACGUCGCGGUUCAUCAUAUAGUACUCUCUUACGAACUCACUAUAUGAGUUAGGAAGUGACUGAAGAACCCAAUCAACAGCCAUUUCCUCACAGACAACGGAUCCCAACAUUCUUAACCUAUCAAUGUGUGACUUCAUCCCUAGGACGUGUGCACACACCGACUUUCCUUCUUUAUGUUUACUUGCCAAAAGGGCUUGAGUGAUCUUGAACUUUUCAAGCCUUUGAACUUGUGGGUUAGGGAGAAUAAUUGGAGGAGGAGGAGGAAGUGAAGCAUGAUUUCUUGUUCCUCGAUCGAAUCGUGGAAUAUCAUCUUCAUGUGGAAUGCUUGUUCCACGGGAUUUGGGAAGACCAUAGUUGUCGAACUUUGACAUCUACAAAACGGGAGAAAACGAAUUCAAGUUAGUUGAUUGAUUGAGUCCUUAGUAAAUCACCCAAAUGAGAUACUAAGGCUAGGACCCAACACAAUAUUCUACAACUCGGGAGAGGGAUGCCGUAACCCUAAUUGCAGAAUAUUUGAAGGUAAGUGAAUGACGAUUCACUAAUUUCCACCAUGAAAAACGAAAAAGAAAUUUAAGUUUUAAAUCUAUGAAAACUCCUAGAUCCUUUGAGAUUCAUUGAACUUUCAAUGGCAUGUUUAAAUCUCGAUAUGCCCCUCUUGUUUGUGACUGGGAUGCCGAGGAUCACAAAGCGGGUGUGAAUAACCAUGCAAACUUACAUGGUGCCCUCACAUGUUACAGUCACCUAUUCGAUGUGCCGGUAAACCACACACGCUCCACCGAACUAUGACAAACAUUGAGUCACCCUUUGCUACCUUUGCUUAGAACCAUUUAGUGUGCCGGUUAACCACACACGCUCCACUAACGUCUUCGCAAGGGCACAAAGUGUAAUUUCAUGGAAUUGCAUCAAUUCACUUUUGCCUAAGUAACUAAGAUUGGGAAUUUUAUGAAAACAUUUAGUUACUUUAAUAAUUCAUUAUACUUAUAAUGGAAGGUUUCGUCCUAUCCUACCCGUUCGGCUAACGACCCUCCACUAGUCAAGAGUGCGGUGGGUAAGAGUGGAUACCCAUUCAAUCGCCAUUUUAUAGGCAAUUUCCUUAAACACCCCUUAUAGACCAGCUUCGUGAAUGAGGCCUACUAACGGUAAGACUGACUUUUACUCAUACAUAUAUAUAAUGUUAGACUUUUAAUGUUAUAUAUAGUAUAGGGUGUAUUUUAUACUUUUAAAAUACUAGGUGGUCUAAUUUAACAAUUAUACUUUUAAUUCAAUUAAAUUGUAAACCUAAACUUUUAUGGAUUUAUUAAACCUCUUUUAAUUAUACACCUUAAUUAAUUAAUAAAACCAUAAGGGUGUGAUUUGAACUUUUUCAAAACUAUACUAGAGUUUUAGAAUUUAACAUUCCUAAUUAAACUUUUAAUCAACUUUUAAAUUCCAAAACUUGAGGGCAAGUUUUGAAACAUUUCAACACAUUAGGGUUUAGAAUUUAAAUAUGCAUCAAAAUUAAACUAUUUAAUCAAAAUUUAAAUUCCAAAACUUGAGGGCAAGUUUUGAAACCUUUUUCAAAACAUUAGGGUUUCAACUAUUUAAAUUUCAAAACAACAAAACUUUUGGGGUUCAAAUUUAAACUAUAAAACCUAAAGGGCCAAAUAUGAAACUUUUCACAACAACAAGGAUCAAAUAACAAAUAAUUCAAAUUAACAUUUAAUCACAUAAUUAUCCAUAUUUGAUGAUUUCUUGCAAAAUAAUUUAUCAAUUUACUUAAAAUAAUUAAUCAAUUAUCUUAUAAGGAAACAAUUAUCUUAUUAAUUGAUAAAUAUCUUCAAUUAGAUUAAAAAUAUAGUCAAAUAUAUCAUAUAAUCGGAUUAAUAUUAAUCUAACAUGAUAAGGUAAUUAUCCCAAUGCAAAAACAGCAAGAAAUCCCGAGAUAAGCACUGUCUGACGCACCGACUCGCCGAGUCACCCUCUGGAACUCGCCGAGUAGGGCUGACUCGCCGAGUCCAAGAGUGACUCGCCGAGUCAGGUCGAACAGUGAGGCCAAAACACGAUUUUCAGUUACAUCAAGCAUCAAUACAAUAGAAACCAAUCAAGGCUCUGAUACCACUGAUGGGUUUUGGUCAUAAGACAUCCUAUGUGCUCAUACAAACCCUAAAGCUUGGAUCUAGGUUUCUCUAUUGUACAUACUUUGAAUCCAAGACUUUGAACCCUAAUUCUAGCAUAUGGAAAUCAGAAUUCACAUGUAAUUAGGUUUAAGAACAUACCUUGAUUGUUAUAUAGCAAUAACAAUCCAAUUCCUCCUUGAAUUGACCUUGGAAAGCUGAGAGUCACAAGUGUCACUCCUCUAAUGGCUUACAAACACCAUAAGCAAGUGGAGAAGGUAUAAAGAGAGAGGAGGGAGGUAAGAAUUCGUCCUUAGGACCUCUUGGGAAGGGUUAGACGAAUUCCUAAGCCCUAGAGGGUUUAUAUAGGUGUAAAGAUUAAGGUUUUAGUCCUUAUCCUUAUCUAGUUGCUUGUCCACCAAGCAACCAUAAGAUAAGUCCUAGAAACCCUUAUCCUAGUCGAAUUCUAAGGGAUUUACACCUCAAAUUCAUUCACCAUAUAUAUAAGAUAAUCCUUACCUUAUUUUGUAACUAUCACAUAAUUACAAUUCAGCCCCUCUAGUUUAAUUAAUUACACUUGAUCACAAAAUUAAUUCUUAAUUAAUUAUUGACCAAUAUUAAUUAAACAAAUAUGAUUUCUCCUUUAAUAUAUUAUUCUUAUAACAUAUUAAUAAAUCAUAAUAACCUCUCUCUCUUUAUUUAUUUCUCCAAUCAAGUUGCUUUGGUGAAGGCAACCCAAAAGGACCAUGCACCAUCGGGUCAAGUACAUACCAAAAUAGUUAUGGACUUAGACACUAAUCCAACACCGAUUUGACGAGGUUAGUAUGGAAUUACUUGUUAAUAUGGCUAGUUUAAGCCCUGUUGAUGAUUUAAAUCUUUUGAGAAAGAAAAAGUUAUUGCACUUGCAAAACUUUAUCCUAGUGAGUUUUCAAGUGUUGAAUUAGUUCGUCUAGGUGAUCAGGUUGAUAACUACAUCUACGAUAUGAAAAAAGACGACAGAUUUCAAGGAUUGAAGGAUCUUAAAGAACUCUCUAAGGUGAUGGUGAGGUCUAAUAAAGAUAAAGUUUUUGAUCAUGUCUAUUUACUUAUUAAGUUGGUGUUGAUCCUCCCGGUGGCGACAGCUAGUGUAGAAAGAACAUUUUCGGCAAUGACUUUUGUGAAGAAUAAGUUACGCAACAGUAUGGGUGAUCAAUUAUUAAAUGAUUGUUUAGUAACUUAUAUAGAGAAAGAUGUGUUUUCAAAAGUUAGUGAUGAAGUUAUUGUUACUCACUACCAAAAUAUAAGCAAUCGACGACAACAUUUGUAAAAUUUUGUUUUGAUAUUAAAUGUUUUUUUUAAUUAUUAAUCAAAGUUUAUUAUGUGCAUACCCUAUUUUUUUUAUUCUAGAUCCGCCACUGCUUCGGACGAGGUCGAUCAGAUAUAGUUCGUUAGUAUCUUCAAACCGCCUUGCAUGAUAAGCCAUCAUCCCACUAGAUAUCUCGAACAUUACCACUCCAAAUGAGUAUAUGUUGGACUCCUUAGAGAGCAUACCUCAUUCGUUGUAUAUCGGAUCCAUGUAAAACCUUGUACCAGCAGCUCUUGUACUGACAUGGGUAUCUGGCUGAUUUCUUGGACUUAAUCUUGACAAACCAAAAUCACAUAUUUUGGCUUCGAGAUUAUCAUCUAACAAUAUAUUUGCACUAUUGAAAUAUGUAUGAAUUACUCUGUUGUGCUCCUCAACACCCGAGUGAAGGUACUUGACUCCUUUUGCUGCCCCCAAACAUAUCUUCAGGUGUUGUUCCCAUGUUAGACAACGUCUCUUGAAAACUAUAAUUUUUUCGUUUGCAUCAUCACAGUAGCCAACAAAUGGGAUGAUGUUUGGAUGGUUGAAACUUGAAACCAAGUUGAGUUCUUUAGUGAACUCGUUGGUUCCUUGAUAACUAUUACGAUCAAGACGUUUGAUAGCUACUAAGUGGUUUGUCCAGCGUUCAGAGAGUUGUCCUCUGUACACGUUACCAAAUCCACCAUCUCCAACCCAAUUGUCUGAACUGAAGUUUUGUGUGGCCCGAAUGAUUUGGAAUUCGACAUUCUUCUAGGUUUACCUCUGAUGAAGACAUUCAUUUUUAUAUUGUUGAUGGAUUAAUAUGUAUGGUUAUGGUGGUAGCAGCUUUUCUGUCGAUAUAUAUAUAGAACCGAGUUUGCUUUAGAAGCGAGUUAUAACCGUUGACUAGCAUCAACUGCUUUAAAAGUUAAAUGAUGUAUCUUGUAUAUUUUAGCUUAUAAAAAUCAUAUAAUAGGUGUAAGUGUCAAAAUAAAGGUGAAAAUGAAAACUCGAAGUCAACAUAAUAAAAACAGAAUUUGGACUUUCCUCAACCGAACAUCAAACUGGACUUGGUAAUAGUGCACUUUUUAUAUUUAUUGUAUUCUCAACCCUGCAUGCGAUAAAUGCAUCCCAGUUGUAACUUUUAAACUGAGAUACAAACGUGUGGGUCAGCUAGCUAUGAAAGAGUCAAAUGAAAAUAGGAGGAUUUAUUAUGGCUGCUUUUUGCUCGAGGGUUAUAUAAUUAGAUGAUUCAGACAUAGACCAAGUCCAAGCGAAUUUUAUUCGUGUGAUUCCUUUUUUGAGUGUAAAGUGUAAGCAUAGUCGAACAAGCACGAUUACAGCGGAGUAUACGCUUCAUAAGGGUUAGACAACUACGUCAUUGAGUGCAGAGAAACCCUCUUAAAUUAAAUACUCUAUUUUGUUUUUAAGAUGUUAAAGUAAGUUUUAAUAUAAGAUGAUUUUAUAUAAAGUAGAAAAUUGCUAAAGUCGGAAGAUUGAUUGAGAGAUUACAAGUGUUGUAAUCAGAAGUGGUUAGGUUGCGACUCGCUGUGGUAAUUCUGAAAGUCAUGGACCUCUAUAUGUCCACGGGUUUUAUAUAUAUAUANAAAUUCUGGUCAUUAGAUAAAAAGAAUGAACGAAUGUGAUCAUAAGGUGCAUGUUAUUAACACGGACUACCACGUACCAUAUAAUUUCUAUUAUUAAAUAAAUAAGGUAACUAAAGAGAGAGAAUUGAAAAUAAUCUAUAUUUUAAGCAACUAAUUAAAAUUAAUUAAUAAAAAUCAAAUCUCCUAUUUUAUUCAACACAUUUAAGUUAAAACAUAUUUUUUUAGAAUACAUAUUCAUUCAUCAACACGUAUUUUGAUUCCUUUAUUUUUAAAGAAUGUGAAUUUAUUCAAUAGAUUUUUAUUGUUGCAUUCUAUAAAAAUACAAUUUUUUGAGAUUCAAUAUUUUUUUUAUUGUUUCAUUCCAUAAGAAUAUAAUUUUUUUAGAAGUAACAUUCUUAAAAAUACACAUUGUAUAUUAGCGCAUUUUUUCUUUUUUUCAAUUCUAAAGAAUACGAUUUCCAAAAAAAAAUCAUUCCUUCAUUCUUAAAGAAUACAAUUUUUUGAAAAGUAACAUUCUUAAAUAAUACAUUUGUAUAUAUUACACAAUAAUAUAUCAUUCUUUAAAACAAAUGUGUUGCAAUAUAAUUAAGAAUGCAUUAUAAAACAAUAACCGUACUUCUAACAUAAAAAAAAUUCAUAACAUAAAACAAGAAAAAAAAUAUAUAUAUAUAUAUAUAUAUAUAUAUAUAUAUAUAUAUAUAUAUAUGUGUGUGUGUGUGUGUGUAUGUAUGUGUAUNUAUAUAUAUAUAUACCAUUUUAAAAAAUAUACACAAUCUUUUAUAUUAAAUUCUUUAAGAAUCUAUCAUCAUUCUUGAAUACGUUGAUCUGGAAAUGUUUUGUAGCCACUAAACCAAAAUUUCCAUGAGAAAAUAAAUCAACGUGUAGCUCAACUCUACACAUGUGUCCUUAUUCUUUUAGAAUAUAUGAUAAAAUACUUCAGUAUCAGUUCAAUUAUAUCAUGACAUGCUUAAAAAAUGCUAAUAUGUAAGAAUGGAAUAAACAACAUUCUAAAACAAUAACAAAAAUAUCAAUUGCAUUAUCUAAAAACUUUUCCACUUCAUCUCUCAAUGGUUUUUCAAAACCAAUAUUCUGUUCUUCGAUAUUGCUAAGCUAUUUUAACAAUAUGCCUGCAAUUUUCAAAUAUACAUUAUAUUAGUAAACAUAUAUAUACAAUCUGUUUCAAUACCAAAUUCAUUCCAUCGUUUACAUUCUUAAAAGUUCAUCCAAAUACUUGUCUUUUAGCUAUUGUCAAGCUUUUUCCCUUUUUCCCAACUGUCCAUGUUUUUCAUAAUUAAAUUAACUUAUAAGUAUUUGAGAAACUAUACAUUAAAAGAAAAAACAUAUUUUAAAAAAUAAAUUUUAAAUCAAAAGCAUCAACAUAUAGGAAAAAAAACAUAACACCCAUCCAUCGAUUAAUGUAUCAUAGCUAAAUAGAGGAAUAUGGACAUGUAAUUGCCGUGAAACCUAUAGUUUUAGGUAUAACCAAUAGACUAAUUAGGUUACGAGAAACACACAAAAAAAUCAAAGAUUAUGAAAUUAUUAAUAUAUUGCAUAAGAAUUAAUGAACCAGCUUUGAUGAAUUGAUUUUAAGGCUACAAACAAUCUUAAUAAAAUCAUAAUCGUUCUAGUAUGAAAAAAAUGAUUUCAAAACCGUUCAUAAAAGACAACAAAAAGAUGAUUUAGGAAUCAUUCAAGCAAAACAAUUGUUCAAGAAUGAAAACGAAAGAGGAAAAAAACUUACCGGCAUUGGAGGAGGAAGACGAUCGGAGGGAGAUGUUAGGAUGAGGCGGCACUUCCAACUACGGUGGUGGAGAGGGAGGGUUUUUCCAAGACGGUAUAUAUGAAACUAAUAUGCCUAGUUUAUAGGAUUGUUAAUUUAUUUAAUUUUUUUACCAUAAUUAUGUAACGUUAAAAUUUCAAUUAUAUCCUUAUCAAAUGAGUGGUUCACAAUCAGUCACAUAUUCAUAUAAUAUUUGAUUAUUAUAUAUGAUCCUAACUCUCUAUCUCUCUCGUCACAUAUUUAUAUAAUAUUUGAUUAUUAUAUAUGAUCCUAACUCUCUAUCUCUCUCGUCACAUAUUUAUAUAAUAUUUGAUUAUUAUAUAUGAUCCUAACUCUCUAUCUCUCUCNNNNNNNNNNNNNNNNNNNNNNNNNNNNNNNNNNNNNNNNAUAUGACAAAAUUGCAAAAUGGUCCCUUGAGGUAUGAAUUGUUUUGAGGUUUUAGUUUAAAUCCUGACUUUUUUGGCUUCAUGGUCAUUUUGGCCAUGUUUGUAUAUAGAUUUGGUCCCUCGUAAAAUUGAAAUGACUAUAAUACCAUUCUAAUAUAUUUCUAUUUAAUUUAAUUGAAAAAGAAAAUAAUUAAUUAAUUUGGGCCCACCUCUCUUUCUCUCUCUCUCUCACAUACACACACACAUCGUGCUUCCAUUCCAUUACCUACCAGAUUCAAAACAUUCACCCAAAGAUCACCCCCUUGAUCUUAAGUUUUGCUGCUAUGUGAGUCUAAGCAUUGACGGUAUUAGUGGCGGCUCUCAAAUCCGCUUGUGGGCAUUUGGUCAGGUGAGUCCCCCCACUGCAAAUAAAAUGAUAUUUAGUGGCACAAAAAAGUGUCACUAAAAAUAAAAAUAAAAAGUGCCACUAAAACUCCCAUUUACAAUCAACGACACAAAAAAGAAGUGUCACUAGCAGCGCUCCCACUAAAGGCUUUUAGUGGCACUUUUUGGUUAUGUUGUUGUAGCCCUUUGGGUUUUAGCGACACUUUUUUUAUGCCACUAUCACACUUUUGGUUUUUGUAAAACUUCUUUAAUGAUACUAUAAGUGGUAAAAUAAAAAGCAAUCUUUAUGCUUUUAGGAUACUUUCUAUUAUCAUAAAAUAUUUAUAUUUAAUAAUUAGGUCCAUUUAUUUUAUUUAUAAAUUUAAAUGGAAAAACACAAAAUCUUUACUUAAGUUCAAAUUAAUUUCUCUAACAUUAAUAUUCUCAAUACAUAAAAUACAAAUAAGUUUAAAAAUUAAUAAAUCUAAAUGUUGUGCUAGUAUGAAAGAUUAGAAAACAAAGCAGAUCAUCAUUUGCAUAGUCUUUUGACCCUUGUGUGUUUGUGGAAUAAUUUGAAAUAGCUUGUAGGAAAUACAACAAAAGAAAACCAAUUAUAAUAAAAGUUAGUAUUAGUAUAUAAAGUUAUUAAUGCUAAUAAAUAAUCCAAAAUACGUUACCACAGUUAAGCAGCGUUGUUUGAAGAUGGAUCUAUCUUCUUCGUGUACUAAUAGGUAAGUUUCUGCAAGAAAAACAAGCAAGAAUAAAAAAAAAUGUAAUCAUGGUGUUGUACAUCAUGGCCUGUGUUAGUUUCAAUAAUGAAUUAGGUAUAUUUUAUAACUAACUUUCCAUCAUAACUUUAUUUGAUUUAGAGGUUGAAUGAACUCUUUAGCUACCGUGUAUGUGAUGUUACAGAUGGUAUCAUAGGAGUGGUGAAAGAUUGAUACUUAGAUGUACAUAGAAGAAAAAACUUCAACCAAUUUACAUGGGAUAAUAUUUGGGUUGAUAUUAUAUUCCUAAUCGGUAGUGAGAAUCAAGAAAUUAGAAUAUUAAAGCCUAAACCUUUUCAAGUUUGUCACGAUAUUUAAUUACAUCUUUUUUAUGUUUCUGAUUGAUACCCACAUAACCAAGUUUAUAAUGCUUUCAAAAUAAGCAUCACUAACAACUAACCUUAGAGUGAAUCGUUUAUCCUCAAAUUCCAUUUAUUUUCUCAAGAUAUCACUCCUAUUGUCGCCUUAUAUUGAUUGUUAAAUUUCUUUUCACAUUUCAAGAAAAAAAUUAAGAAAUAAGGAUAUUAAACUAUUAAUCCGAAAAAACGGAGAGAAAAAUAUUCAAAACUUACAUGGGGGAUUUUCUUUUCCUUUCUCUUCAAUUAUAUAAUUUCCUUCUCCCAAUAUCAAAACCUAUACAAAAUGAUUAUUGCAAUAGAAGGGGAUAAAUAAUAAUUAUGUUUGUUAAAUUGAAUUUACUAUUAAUGCGGGAUAUCAAAACCAAAACCAUCUUUACAACAUUAACAAACUAAAAAAAAAAAAAAAAAAAAAAAAAAAAAAAAAAAAUCAAUGUACGAAGUUAGGGCUAGAUACUGAGAAAAGUUUUGAGAAGGAAAUAAUCCAUACGUACAGUCAUCGAUUGAUGGUCAUGGCCAUAAUCAUUGUCACUCCGUUCACAAUCGCCUCCCUGACAACCACCUCUAUAACAUAAUCUUGCUUCCUCCUCCCUCCAUUGUGGUCGUCUAAAAGAAGAGAGAGAAAAAGAAGUAUGAAUUUCUUUUAAGAAGGGAAAAAAGAGCGACAUAUAUGAACAAGAAAAACCAAGCAGGAGUUGAAUUAAAAUCAACUUCCCAUUCUUCUAACCCCUUUUGAGAAAUGCAGAAGAUAAUGGAAUGCGUUUAGGGAUGAUGAUAUGUAGAAUUGAGAAGACAGAGAUGGAGAGCAAUUGAUCAGGGAAACUGUUAUCCUUGAGAAUCUUCACUCCGUCAGACAACAAGAUCUCGUUGUUUAAGGGAUGAACUCGGUGGAGCUGGGUGUGCUUCGGCCAAGUGGUCUAAAUAUCAGUCAACUUUAUUCAUUUGCUUAUGUAAUCUGUAGGGGGAAUGUAACUAUCAUUAUUCAAAUUCGAGCUCCAGCUCUUUCAAUUCAAGUUGUGUCGGAGGUUUUUCUUCGUCAGAAGCUGCAGGACGUCUCAUCAAGGCAUAAACCUAUCUGCAUAAACAAAUCGAAAUGAUGAAUACAGAAUGAAAGACAGAGGCGUGGCAGUGCUGCAUUUCUGGGUUGGGGUGGCUGACACAGGUGCAAUGAUUGUGACAGCUAGGGUUUCUGGAGGUGCAAUGGUGGUGAGACGGUAGUCCGAUUGUGCGGUUGUUGUAGUAAUAGUGGAAAAGAUGUGAUGGAGUGGUACACAGUUGAGGGAUGAUGAUGCGUAUUUUAAAAGGAGCAAUUCGCUGAUCUAUUUGGAAACUGAAUUUGCAGGGCUAAAAGGGUAGGAUGGGUGUUGAAAUUGUUUAUCCUUCUGUUCUUAUCAUCGAGUUUUCGUCUGAUUUCUUCCUUCAGAUUGGAUGUUGGUCAACACUAGAAGGAACUGACACUAUCGUUCGAGAUUUUAUAGAUUUUUCCUUCCAUACAGAGACUGAGAUCUCCUAAACUUUUGUUUUCUUUCAAGGUAGCUUCGAAUUAGUGGUAGUGUUACAAUUUUGGUGGCGGUGGUGCUCGAGAUUCACAUCGUUUUUUCAUGGAUGUGGGGGUGGUUCUGGUGUUUGGUGUUAUGUUCAUGAGAGAGAUAUGUUCUCUAUUAUUUUUAAUUAUUAAAAUAAAUAAAUAAAUAAAUAUUAAAUAUAAAAAAAUGAAAUAAAAAUGAAAAAUAAAUACAUUAUAGUCAUUUCAAUUUAUAGAUAAACUAUUUUCACAUACAAACUAAUCCAAAAUGACUACGAAACCAAAAAAGUCAUGAUUUGGAUUAAAAAUCCAAAAAAUAAUACCACAAGACCAUUUUUGUAAUUUUGUCUAACUAUAUAUCUAUAAGCGACAAAGACAAAUAAUAUAUAUAAAAAAUAAAUCAAAAAAGUAAACUAAAUUAAUAGUCAUAAUUGUUUAUUAUAUCUAACAACAAGAGUAUAUCCUUUUGGUUUCAUUCAAACUUUCUUAUGUUAUAUAUCAAAGACAUUAAAUCCAUAAAUAUGUAUAUUAUUUCUAGAUUCGCGUCAAUCUAUUUAUUCAAACAUAUAUUAUUCAGUAUGAUUUUAUUAUAAUAAAUUAAAUUAAUAGUUACAUUUGUUUAUUAUACUUAGGAGCAAGACAACUCAUGUCAAACAUAAUUGCUACAAAAGUAAUGCUAGCCUUUUUUUUUUAAAGUAGGUUUAGACGUUGAUUCUUCUAAUAUGUAGGUAGACUUUGGGGGUGUUUGGCUUAGCUUUUCAAACCCUAAAAGUCUUUUUUGGAAAAGUUACAAAAAGUCAGGAUUUUCUGACUUUUCCAAAAAGUUCAUUUUCCUUAUGUAAAAACUUCAAAAGUAGCUUCUAAAACUAGUUUGCCAAACAUCUUUUGUUUUUUUUUUUCUUUUCUAAAAAGGACUUUUGGCUGUGAAAAGUUAAGCCAAACACCCUCUUUGCCUGCAUACGCCAUAAGCAAGUUAACCUGAAGUUUAAAAAAAGGAAAAAGACAUACCUAAAUAUAAAUCAAAUGCAAGAGAAGCAGCGCAUUUUUCCAGUUGUAGCACCGACGGCCGAUGGUCAAGUUCGAUUAGAGCUUGAGACGGUCGGAGUUGUGAUCGCGAGCGACAUUAAAAAAUAAGCAGCGGCCGGUAUAUUUAGAGGCAACCGAUUUCUCGUCUCCAUCUUUUUUUUGUAGAUCUCUAUGAAACAUCACCAGAGCAAAUCUGGUUGAAGCACAAAGAUUUGAAGGCGAAAAGGAUAAAUUUAGAGGCAAAAAUUGUAUAUUUGUCGUUGUAGAUCAUAGAUCUAUUGCCAGAGAUAAUAGAUCUGGACCGAACCACUCUAGAUAUGAUGAAAACGAAAACUUUUGGAGGCCAACGACAUGCUUCGAUGGAAGGUGGAGGAGGAAGUUUGAGUAGAGCUGUUUUAUGGACAUCGACGGAGGUUGUAGAUCUUACCAGAUCUAGAUUAAGAAUACCACUAGAGAUGAGGAAACAGAGGCAUUAGAUCUAAAUAGAUCUAAGCAAAAAACACAAAAGAGAAUCGACGGAAUCACGUCACCGAAGACGAAAAAGCGGAGGUGGUGGUUCACCGCGAAUACGAGACAACGACGGGGGAGAUGAUGGCCGAUGGUGGUGCUUUGUGUUGGUGGG